GGAAGAAGAGUUUUCCUUUGGUGUAAGCUGUGUGAAUGGAGAAGGUCAUACAACAACGAUUUUAAUGGUCUAGUGACUUAAAUGAAAGCUUUUGAAAUAUUCGGUGACAAUUUUAUAACUUUUGAAGUUAAGUGUGACCAAAACAUAAACUUAUUAAUAGUUUAGUAAUCUUGGGUAUGGUUUACCCUAAUUUUUUUUUAUGACUCACACACCAUUAGGAGCAAAUUAAUGUCUCGCACACAAACACUUUUAAUAUGUAAUUCUUGCGACUUGAAUCCAUAGUGUAAGUACGAGAGUAAGCUACUAAUUAGCCCAUUACUUCGAAUACUUUAUUUAUUAAUAAAUAAAUACGUAUGAAGGGAAAAAAAACCCCAUGUUUGGUUAACAUAGUAGUCGUAAUUACUAUUCUAAUACAACAAAUUUCAAGAUUUUUAAAACCUUUCCUCUAUUCAAAGUAAUCCAACUAAACAAUAGCGUGGAUAGCUUAGUCAAAUAACCUGAAUCUCUUAGUCAAUACAUGGUUGCUCGCUGUUAUUCCUACCACUUUGUUGGAUAUCUUUACUAAACUUGUCUUCAGUACUUAGGAACAGUUGAACCAAUACGAAAUAUAGACUAUGCUAGACCUGCGAGUUGGGUAGGUUGGAUGAAUCUGGAUAUGGUUAAUUCGAGAGUUAUUCCUAGUAAAAUUAGUUUUGAAAUCGGAUCAUUUUGAGUUUGGGUCAUCUCAAGUUCUGGUCACUUUGGGUUCAAACCAUUUCAAAUUAUUGUCAUUUAAUGUUUGGUAAUUUGGGUUUAAUUUAAUACUCGGAUUAUCUUGAAUCCGAUUAUUUUAAAUUCAAGUUAUUUGUAUUUAUAUUUUAAAAAUAGAAGUACAUGAAUUAUUAAUUGGUUUAAAUUUAUUAUAAAAUUAAUAAUUAUAAAAAUAUAAUAAAUUUAAAUUAAUUAACCUAUAAUCCAAUAUAUAAAAACCAUUAAAAAAGUUGAAAAAAAAUUAUUAUUUAGUUUAUUUUUAAAUUGUCAUUAUAAAUUUUUUAUUGUUAAAAUAACCUUAUCUAAUUUAAAAUUUGUGGGAUAACUAGAAAUUAGUUAGAUUUUUAGGAUUUAAAAUAAUGAAAAAAUAAAAAUAAAAAUGAGCGGAAAAUAUUUUUAGAAUUUUUAAAUAAAACAGAAUCAAAAUAUUGUAACAACUUACAACUUAAAUCAUGUAAUUAAAUUAUAAUUCCAUAAUUGUUAUGAAUUCCUACCAUUAUUUCGGUUAAAAAAAACCUUCAUUCAAUCCAGAUUUAACACGUGUCAUUUUUAAAUAAUAUAAAAUUUUUAGUUAAUAUUAAAUAAUAAUUUAAAUACACAUAUAUUUAAUUUCAUGUAAAUAAUAAUAUAGAUAAAAAUGGCACAUGACAAGUUUUUGUUGAUUGAAGUUUUUUAUAACCGAAGAUAACAAUAUCAUAAUGAUUACGGAAUUAUGAUAUAGUUUGAGCGUUGCUUAUUCUAUUAAGCCUUAUAAGUUAAAUAAUUAUUUAGAAAAGAAAUGUUCGUUUUUCUCUCUUCAAGAGUGAUCUUGCUAUAUUAUAUGGUGGGUUUAUCAUGCACGUGAUUAGAUGUGAAUCUAAACAAGCAGAUAGAAAAUCAUGGAAAAAUUGUAGUUUAGUUUCAUUAUAAGUGAUGAAAUUAUAAGUUAAUAUAUAAUAAAAUUGUACUUUAGCCCCUAAAAUGUAUAAAGUAUUUGUUUAGUCUCUUAAAAACGAUGAAAGCAUAAAUUAAUACAUGAUAAAGUUAUGUUUUAACCUAUUAAAAAUCUACAAUUCAAUUUCAAUCCCCUUAAAAGGAAUUCCUAAAUUUGCCCCCAAGUGUGACACAUAACACACUUAAUUUUUUUCUAAAAAAAAGAUGUGUCAGCCUUUUAUGAAAUCAAGGUUUCGCAUUCAAAAAAAGUAAAUAGAUAGUUCUUUUUUAUAUAAUGCCUAAAAUUAUUCGUAACUCUUCCCUUAAAAAAUGAUAAAAACACAUUUGAAUACUCCCAAACCCGUAUCUUUCUACACUGAUAACAAUAUCAACACCAAUCAAACUAAAAUUCAUUUAACCCAUUUUUAAAAUAUAUAGGUAGAGGGCACGACAAACAUAUAAUAAAAUCUUCAUUUGACACGAUAAUAUCACAAAAACAUCUAUAUACUUUUCUAAAUAUUUAUUUAAUUCAAUGCAUUCUGAUAUUAAAAAAAAAUCCAAGAAAAGCGCGGUGAUGGAAUCCAUUACGGUUAAUGCGAAAAAGAAACGUAUAUUCUCAAUGUUUCUUCCUCCACCUGCAGUCAACGAAUAUGCUUAACUAAACCAUAAUAUCCCCUAAACUAUAAUAUAAAAUAUCCGGUGAUCCGGGCAUAAAAUUAAUAUUUUUUUAAAUUAUUAGUAAGUUUAUAUUUUAGUUAUUAAACUAUGUAAAAGUUUUCAUUUAAGUUACUGAACUAGCGAGCUCCAAACAAUGAUUCGACGAUUAGUAAGACAGAUCAGUAUUUAUGUAGAAGAACAUACUUUAGAUCCAAGUUGAUCUAACGGUUUAUGUCUGAUAUCAAGGAAGAAAAUUGUUUGAAUUUUAGUUUGCAGAUUCGUGACGUUUAAAGUUGUUUUAUGGGAAAAAGAUGAAUUGUGAAAGAGAUCGAGAAUGAUAGCUUUUGAUUAGUAUAGGUACCGCAACAAAGCAACCGUGAUUUUAACAAUUUAAUAACUUAGAUAAAAAAAUUUGAAUAAUUCAAUAAUUAUUUUAUAAUUUUUUAAAAUUUAAUGAUCAAAAUUUAAAUUUUUUAAUAAUUUUGUAAAACAUAUAAUUUAAUCAAGUUCCGUGAUCUUUAUAUUUUUUUUUAUGUAAAAUUAUUCAAAAUAUAUAAAUUUGCUUCAUCUAAAUUAUUAUUAUUAUUAGAUAUUUGAGUGGACCAGGUUGAAUGCCGACCAUUACCCUCUUUCCCACAAAAACCAUAAACCCUGUCUGCGUGUCUUUUUUUUUUUUUUUUGGAAGUAGCAUAAUAUGUUACUAUCUACGUGUCCUUAAGUAAACACAUCUCUCACUGUUCCCCAAUAACUCCAAAAUACAACCCAAUCACCCUUUUCCUUCCCUUUGGUUUUACUCGUAAAAAACCUCAUCUUUUUAUGUUAUGCUAGUGUAUAUUUAGGGGUUAAUAUGUACUUUGCUCUUAAAUUUGUUUAAAAGUAUUUAAUUGAUAUUUUGUUAUGAUCAUUAGUGUUAUGUUAGCACAAACUAAUAGUAGUAGAGUGAAUAUACCAACUUAAGUGACAGAAUAUAAAUUCAAAUACUAACUAAAUAUUUUUGAACAAGUUCAAGAGCAAACUGUAUAUUAACCCUAUAGUUAAUUGUGAUAAUGAAAAAAGGGUUAAUAUAACUUUUAGUCCUGAAUUUUAGUAAUUAGGCCCCUUUUGAUACGCUAACUAAGGGUGGGUUUAGAUGGAUGAUUGGGUGCGGUGCGAUGCGAUGCGUUUAACUUACUUUUUGUCUCACGCUACAGUAUCGCUAUAAUAUCUAAUCUUAUCGCCAUUGUUGUUGUUACACUAACCGCAGAUAAACGCACCGCCCGUUCAAACUCACUCUAAGUCUAUUUUGAUUCUGAAUUUGGUACAUGCUUGAAAUUUAAAAAAAAAAAUUAUUUUUAAAUGAUGACAUGGUACAAUCUUAGAGUGACACAUGAUUAAACUUUUACAUUUAUUAAUUUCAGAGACCAAAUGACUCUAGUUAUCAAAUUCAAAUAACAAAAUAAAUCAAAAAUAUUAAAGUAUCAAAAUAAACGUAACUACAUGACUAAAAAUUAUAUAAACCCAUGAAAAAAAAUCUAAAAACAAGCUUGGUGGUGUUCAAUAAUCAAAAUAAUCUUUUUUAAAGGUGACUGGGGUGUUUAUUUCAUGGGGUCUACCUCUUUCUAAAAGGUGCAUGAUUGCAAAUGCAAACUUAUCCUAUCAACUUUUUUUUUUUUACGUAGCUUAUCUCAAACAUUGUCGUCAUUUGGUCAAAAGCAAAAAGUGAGAAACAACAAUGGCCAAUGAGUUAAACCAAUGAGUCUGCCAUUACCGAGUUGCUUCAAACCAUAAUUGGUACCUUAGCAGCAACGGGUUUCUCCUUAUUUGGGCAAAGGCCAUACUUGGUACAUGAAAUUAGAAUUAUAUAACAUAAUUUGUAUGUCAACCUCGUAUUUUUGGGUAUUGAAAAUUAGAAUUGAUUUCAUAUUUGGCAGUGGCUAUGAAAGAAGCAAAAAUAUGUGGGUAAUUUUGCAAAAGCGACAUUUUUGUUUCAAUGCCAUCAAUGCUCGUAUGAUUAAGAGAGAGAGAAGAGAUUCAUGCAUAAAUGCAUUAAUUAAUGGAGCCCAAUUGAUGAAUGUUAGUAAUUUCUCGAAACUCGUAGAAUCAUCUAUUUACUUUGUAGUUUUAAACAUUUUUGGGAUAUGUGAAACCAAAAUGUGUUAAUAAAAUGUAAUGUUAAAAUAUAUUAUAAGUAGUUGUAUUUUUUUAAAAAUUUAAAAUUUUAGUUUUUUCUUUAUUUUUAUAUUUUAAAAUUUAGAUUUAAUUACUUAUUAUCAUUAUUUUUUUUUGUUAAAUUUAUUAACAUGGUGUUUUAAAAUUUUAAAAUGUAUUUGAUAGCUAUGUAAUUAAAAGGAUGAUGUUGUAAUAAACUUGAAAUUAGAAGGACUAAAUUUUAAAUGUAUAAAGAAUACAAUGAUUUAAACCACAUUUAACCUAAAUAUAAAGACUAUAUAUGAUGAUAUUUAAAUUAGAAUAAAUACACUUUUCAACCUAUAAAUAUGAAGAUAAUACUGUUUAACGCGUGUCCUCCUACAUACCAAUCGUGUUAAGACUCAAUUGACAAACAACAUUAAUUUUUUGAAAACUUUAUUCACACUUUUAAAUAAUAAUACUUGAAUUAAAUAAAAUAUUAAUCCGAGAAAUAAUAUUGAAUGGGUUAAAUUGUCCUUCUUUAUUUUUUUAAAAAAAUUAAAUAAAAUCAAUAAAUAAAUAAUUAGAACAAUUAUGUGAUUCUUCAUGUACUUACAUCAAUUAAUAACGGUGACAAGAAAUUGUUAACCCUUAAAAGCACGUAUGCAUUUCUUGAUGCUUGCUUGCUUAAUAAUAUAUGCCUAUAAAAAAACAUCCCUCCUUACUUCUCCCACCCAAUAUUCUCUCUAAAUUACCAAAUGCGACAACCGCCGGCGCCACCAGUUUCUUCCGGCGAACCGCCGCGAAUGUCUUCCACUUCAAACUCAACCUGUAGUCCCAACAUUUGCAGGUGGCAACCAUACUCGGACUCGAGUGAUUUUCAAGAUAACGUUGCCAUGGUCUUAAUCAUUCUUUUUUGCGCUUUAAUCUGCUCUGUGGUUCUUAACGCCGUCAUCCGCUGCUUCUUACGCGGGAAUUACAGUGGAAGCCGCCGCUCUCGGCGUUCAAACAAUGGCAGUCACCUUCCUCAAACCCAACAAGAGCUUGAGCAGAGGAAGCCUGUAACGGAGGCGGGUGUAGCACGCAUGUCGGUGGCUCCCACGGUGGUUUAUUCGCAUGGGAUGAAGCUUGCUGGAGCGGAGGGUGUACCGGAAUGUGCUAUUUGCUUGUCGGAAUUCGUGGAAGGCGACGGAAUUCAAGUGUUGGCUAAGUGUAAACAUGGUUUCCAUGUACAAUGUAUUCAACGGUGGUUGGCUUCACACUCUUCUUGUCCCACUUGCCGUUCUAUUUGUCUUCCUCCGUCGCCGUCACCGGAAGAAACUACCCGCGAAUGCGUUGGAGACGGUUCCCAACCGGUGGUGCCGGACCCGGAACCGUAGCAGCUUUGGUUGCUCUUCUUUAUACUGUAUGUAUUUAACAUGUUCAAAAGCUUUAACCUUUUCUUCUUCUUUUUUUUGGUUAAUUUGUUUUUUCUUUCAAAGAUUAUUUCUCUGUAUUUAACAUAUUCAAAACUUUACUUUAAGAAUUGAAGAACAUAAACUGUUGCAAUCAUGUCGUAAAUUACCCAGUAUCAUGAUUGAUUAACACCAAAUUAUAUGAAUCUUAAAAUAAAAUAGUAAGACUUAAAAAUUAACUUCAAUUAUUUUGUUUAUACUACCCACUUGGUCAAGCAGUACUCACGUCUUUUGGUAGGAAUUCACGGUCCGAUCACAUAGGAUGUUCUCUCUCAACAGGUUGAACCUCGGCUUGACUCAACAAUAAUACUUGACUGUUACGAGAUUUGUUGACUUUAGACAUACUACACUUGCAAAUCUUUUUGAGAAAGUCCCCUCAACGAUUAUGAUAAGAGUGCAAUCAAUUAACAUAUUCUAUUAAUUUUUAUUGAAUAAACAUAAUAAUAAAAUUAAAAUGGUUUAUGUUAAACAAAAAUAUGUGAAAUUUAGAACAAAAAACAGAAUACUCAAAACAUACUAGAUAAUCCUGUAGUAGCAAUAUCGUUCUGGGUUUUAGAUUUAAGAUUCGAGUUUCAGGUUAAAAAAAUAAUCAAAAUUAUAUAUUAAUGACAUAAAAAAAUUUAUUAAAAUAUCAUUAAAUAAUUGAAAAAUAUAGAAUGACGCAACACUCCUAUUUUGCACCGUCUUAAUUAGAUGCAAUACGUUUAGAUUGAUUUAAUUACGUGUCUUUCUAAAUUUUUUUGAUUAUAUUUAUUACUUUAAUAUUAUAAUAUUUAUUUUUAAAAUAUAAAAAUAUUAAAUAUAUAUUUAUGAUAAUUUUUAAUUUUUAAAUCAUAUUUAGGGAAAAGAAUGAAAUAUCUAGGAUGGUAGGUUAUUAGUAAAUAACAUUUAUGUUUUAAUUCAUAGUAAAUAUAAAAUAAGAAAAGUAAAAUAUAUUACAAUAUCAACAAUCAAAUACUUUGAUAUAAUAACUUCAAUCUUUCCUCCAUUAUUUUAAAAUUUACAUUUUUUUAACAUAAAUUUUAUUUUCUAUAUUAAUUAUUUCAAACGUGAUAAAUUUGUUAUCAACUUUUAAAUAAAAGAAUAAAUACGUUUUAGUGUAUUCGAAAACACGUAACUUUAUACUUGAUAUCAAUUAAAUUAAGACUCAAUUUUUAACAACGAUCGAAGUUGAUUCAUCAUAUUCUACCUUGGAUAUGCACAUCUACAUUCAAUGCUAACAUAAUUAUCAUGUUUAGAGUAGAUUCUCAAAUGGAUUAAGAAAAGCAUGAUUUACUAAAAAAAAGAAAGAAAAGCAUGAUGAAAAAAAUAUAAUAUAUAUGGUUUAAUACUUGUUUUGGCCCUUGUAUUAUAAUAAAAUUUUCACUUCAGUAAUUUUACUAUUUUUUAGAUUAAUUUAUCCUUUUUUUUUUAAUUUCGUCUAUUGCGUUAAUUCCUUGACCAUUUCCGUUAAAAAAAAUUCCCCACGUAGAUAAUAAUAAAAAGGUUGAAGUGAAAAUUUCACUGUACUAAAAGGACCAAAAUAAGUAUUAAGUCAAUUGUUUUAACAAAAAUGAAGGGGCUACCGUAUGACCAAAGUGAAAUUUUCACUAUUCCAAAGCCAAAACUAGUAUUAAAAAAAUAAGGGUAAAUUGUACCUAAAGUUACUAAAUUAUUAGUAAGUUUAUAUGUUAGUCACUUAACUUCAAAAUGUUAGAAAAAUGGUCACUAAUUUAUUUGAAAAUUUUCAUUUAAGUCACUAGACUGUUAAAAUCAUUGUUGUAUGGCUUUCUCUAUUCGCACCACCAAUUGAAAGCUUUUUUUCCCUACUCUUUUGCAAUUCAAUUUUUUUUCUUCAUAAAAUAGUUUUAAACAUCACGAAUCUACGAAAUAAAAAUCCAAACAGUUUUCUUCUCCAAUCUCCGACAUUGACCAUCAAAUCAACUUGGAUCUAAGGUAUGUUUUUUUUACUCAUUGAUGGGUACUAAUCCACUGUACUGAUUGUUGAAUUGUUACUUGGAGCUCAUUAGUAAAAAAAAAACCUUAACAACUAGUGACAUUUUGUAAGCUUUUAUUUAAGUCAUUGGACUGUUAAGUUUUUUUUAUAAAAAAAGCCCGCCUGGCGAGCUCCAAGCAAUCACCGAUGAGUAAAAAAACCAAGUCGAUUAGAUGAUCAGUGUCAAAGAUUAAAGAAGAAAAUUGUUUUGGAUUUUGGGUUGUAGAAGAAAAGCUUUUGAUUGGUAUAAGCAAUGCGAACAUAGAAGGUCAUAUGACAUAUAGUAGCAAUUUUAACAAUCCGGUAACUUAAAUAAAAAUUUUUGAAUAAUCCGAUGAUCAUUUUGUAACUUUUUAAAGUUGAGUGACUAAAACGUAAACUUCCUAAUAAUUUAGUGACCUUUGAAGAAUUUACCCUUAAACUAUAUAUAUAAUACCUGAGGUAAUGUUUUAUGAGAAGCCAAAACUGAUGCACCGAUAAUGUUUUUCCGGUGGUGGGACAACCUUAAUCUCAAUAUCACUCGGCAUAAGAGCUGAAAGUUCCUUAAUGAUUCCAUCACCCACGCCGGGGGCAAGUAUGGUGGAGUCACUGGAAAGGAUUAUGUUACCAAACAAGUCCUUUUUAGAUUAAACAUCAUGUUUUAACCUUUUCUAUAUAUUCAUCUUAAUUUUUAAUCUAUAAUCUAUAACUAUAAAAUUGAUUUUUAUAUGUUAUAAAUUAUAUGAGAUAAAAUAUUACAAAUUAAAAAAAAAGAUCAGACGGACUUGACCUUGAAUGUUGAAGUCUAUGCUUGACCUAUAUUUUAAACUGAGUCUAAUUUUUUAAUUAAGUCUAUUUUUCAAAUUUAAUAUUUUUAUUAAAUUCUCUUAAAAAUUGAAGAAACGAGCUUGAAUGAAUAACCUAACUAACUCGUGAAUAAAUAUACUUUUUAUCCGUGGGUGAAUUAAUUAUAUCUUGUUGCUACUACUAACCUGUAGUACGCUUGGCAGCAUGAAGCGAUAUCACCGCCGGAACGGGAAUAUACAUGGCCGGAAUCUUCGAACAUUAUCUCGGCCAUUUUCUGCCUUUUGGACUUGGAAUUGUGCGGUGCUUCGGUGAGGAGCACGGGAUGUUUUUGGGGAUCGACAUGAAACUCGUUAUGGCAAGUGUGAUACCAGAUUUGUUCGAUGUCAUCCCAAUUGGUAAUGAAAUCAUGUUGAUCAACAAGGUAAUUCAAUGUGCAAAUACCACUCCAAGCCAGAGCUUCACACCGAAAAAGACAGCUUUGUGUUCCAUUCCGGCGUGCGGUGGCCGUGCAACGACGCAUGGGAAGACAGUCCUAGGAGUUCCUUCACCGGUAAAACCAGCCUGUUUGAGGAUAACGAAGUGAGGGUUGGUUCCACAAUCUUAGAGUGAAAAACACACAGGCAAUAGCAGAAGAUAAAUAUAAUGGAACACAACAGAUUAUACAUGCUAAACAGUUUGAAAAUAUUAUACUUGCAAUCGGGGAGAAUACGAAGUUGAUGGACUCUGAAACUGAAAGCUCGAGAGAGAAGAUGAUGAUGAUUAAAUGAAUGUGCUGGACAACGGAGAUAAGAUCAUUUUCAUUGUUUUUUAUUCAUUAAUUUUCCAAUUUUACCAACAAUAUCAAAAUUUCGAGUUCAUGCUUACGAUAAGAUUACAUAGAACAAGUAUGUAUCAGAAGCUUUUCCUUACUGUUAUGAAUUUUAUCUUUCUGGCGUUUAAAUUCGGCUUUUUGUUUAGACCGGUAUCAGCUUCGUUAUACAUUUUAGUCUUAGAUGAUAUUCUCUAGACAAAUGGUGACAUGACAAGCAUAUUAGCCAACAUUGCAUGUAUGCCAUAUGUCUCUACACCUAGUCCAUAUCAUUUAAUUCAAUGUAAUUACAAAAAUGAACAAAAAUAUCUGAUUUUCAUGAAUUAACUUUGUAGAGAAAGUGGGAGAGAGGAAGGAGUUAAUUGAGCCGUGGUUCGGUUGGAAAUUAAUACAAGCCAAUAAAAAUAAAAUUUUUAAAAUCAGAUGAUGAUCAAAUCAUUAAUUCAGUUAAUUUUGUAUAAUUAAAUUAAACAAUUAAUUAAAAAUUCAUAAAAAAUAUUAAAAAGACAAUUCAAUUGAUUUUUUAAACUAAUCCACAACCGAUUCCAAAAAAUUCAACCAAUCUAACCCCUCACUGCACCAAAUCCAACCGGUCAAAACUGGGAAAAAAUGGAAGUGACAAUGAAAAUGGAAUCCAGAAGAAAUGAGAGUGUAAGAAGGGGAUUCCAAUACAUAAUUUUCAAUAAUUCAUUCAUCAUUUGUAAGCUUUGAUUCAUUAUUGAAUUUUGACAGGAAUGGGAUGGGAUCCAAGAUUAAUGGAUGUGAGCAAACAAGUAUGGAGAACAACCGUGUCAUCACAGAGUAUACGCUAAGGCAUGGCAGAAAUAUCAAAUCAAUGGAAUCUAAUGUCCACAUAGGUACAAAUACAUAGCCGGCCAACAACAAAGCAAACAAGUACUGAGAACAACCGUGCCAUCCAAGGGCUAUAUAUGUCCAAUCAACAACAGAGCAAAAAAGGUAGCUAGAACAACCAUGUCAUCACACAGUUAACACUAAGGCAUGGCAGAAAUAUCAAAUCAACGGAAUCAAGUGUCAACAUAGAUAUAGAUAUACAUUGAACAAAUUACGAAAAAUAAACCAUCAUAGAUCAUUAGUAAGAAUAAGAUCAACUUACUGAUUAAACUUCAAAAUAUCCAAGUCCGGAUUUCCGGUAACAUACUCAGCACGUAAGCAAAUUGCAGAAAAAUGAGAUUCAUUAAGGAACAGUUCUAUAAAUCAACACACAGCUUAAAAUGGGGGAAUAAUUAGAGUACUAAAGAUUAAACAGAUAUCCAAAAUUCUGCAAACAAAUAAAGAUAACAUCCUUGUCCUCUGUAACAGUUGCAAUCCAGGGAAACAGGAAAGACGAGACAAAAAACGGAGUCCCAAGAUAUUACCACGACAAAAAAAUAAAGCAGCACUAUAACUAUGAUUCAAGGAGAUAGUAAUCAUUCUUCUUCAGCGACCCUUCCCUUCUCACUAACAUAGAUACCAUCAAGGAACUUUCUAAUAUCCUUGUUCUUCACAUGGCAUUUCUGUUCAAAAAGGAACAGAUGAUAAGAUUGUUAAAGCAAAGUUGAAAUCUAUAAAUGAAACAUAAAUUUGAAACACUUGCAUAAGGCAAGCACUCAAUGAGAAAGUACCUGGUUUAUCAAAGCUGCAGAUCGGGAUACAAGUUCGAUGUCAUUACCAUCCAAAACAAUCUCAUCCUUAACCUUCUCGGAUCGAACAAUGGAAACACCUUCCAACAUAUCCACCUUACGGACCUGACGUUUACCAACAGAGAAUGAGCCAGACUAAUACAACAACAUAUAAAAUUUAAAAAAGAACAUCUGUAACUCUUUAAACAACAAGAGCAUGACAACUCAGGGGUGGUUGAACCAGUCUGACCAGUUUGAUUAAAAAAUCAUUAAAAUUAAAAAAUAUUUAAAAACCCAAUUCAACCACCGGUUCAACCAGUCCAUACCAAUUCCCGGUCUAACCAGUUCAAAGCCAUUCUCCAGACCGGUACGCUGGCUACUUCCCGGUUCAAACAUUAUUGGAACUAACCAACUUAAAGUAAAACAUAAAGGCGCAUAUGUAAAUAUAUAACCUACAGAAAAUAAGCUAAUCCAACCAAUCUUGCUUAACAACGGAAAAAAGGCUUUAGGAUUUAGGGUUUACUGGUUGAUAUUAUAAUGGAUUAACAGAAAAUAAUUCUUAGCAAAUUUAGAGUUGUGAAUAGAAAAGACUGCAUAAAGAAGUUCAGUUAAAUCAUUAGGCAUAAAAAAUCACAAACUCUUACUGAAAUUGAUAGGAAUGUAUGAUUUCGACGUACUUGAACAUGAGAACAGGCAAACAUUCAGCAUAAAAUUAUUUGAAAUCAAAAGCAAAAUGAAGAAUCAUCCAAAGAGUACCAACAUAAAAUUGAUACGAAUACAUGAUUUCACCAUUUUUGUAUACUUAAAUGGCCAAACAUUCAACAUAAAAUUAUCUGAAAUCAAAAUCCAUAAACAAGCUAAAGCAUAAACUUAAGCAGAUUCCAGUUCCACAUAAAUUCAAGCAUAAAAAAGGAAGGAAUGCGAGAGUAGACCUUCUUCUCGCCAAGGAAGUUACGGAUCUCGAUCGACUUGUUGCCAUUAGUGAUGGAGGCGUUAAUCGGAAAGUGAGCGUAGACGAACCUCAUCUUGUAACGGUAUCCUUUAGUGACACCGGUGAUGAGGUUCUCAACGUGGCUAAGAGCUGUACGGAUGGCGGCGCUGGUCUUCCUGGAGCCAAACCAAGCCUCGAUCCUGAGCUUACGCUUGCCGGUCUCUUCGUCCUUGAUGAGAUGGAAAUCAAGGUUGAGGUGCUUGAAGUUGCGGGUAAGCUUACCCCUUGGACCUUCAACCUCGAUCACCUUAGCCUUGACCUUAAUGCUAACCCCAUCGGGGAUGUCCAUUGUCUCGGAGGAAAGUAUAGUCUUCAUUUUCGCUUUGCUCUUCUAGCUUCCUUUCCCGGCUCUCUUUUAGGCGGCUUCGAGAAAUGGUUGGAAAAACCCUAACCCUAGCGCCCUUUUAUAUACAAGGUAUAAUUAUUUCACGUUUUAAGAAAUUUUUAAUUAAAUAAUUAUUUACGAGUUAAUAUGUAGAGCAGACCAUUUUACCAUUAAAAUCUCAUUUCCAACUUUAUUUACGGAAAUGGCUCAAUGUUUUUAUUAUUUACCGGAAAGAGCCGAUUUUAGUAAAACGCAUCCACGUAGGAACAUUUUUAGGGGAAAUUUUAGCAAAACGCAUCCCUGAGGGAGUAAUUUUGCCAUGUCAACACAAAACACACCCACGUGGACGUGCUUUGCUGAUGUGGCAAAAUCGCUCCCCUAGGGACACGUUUUAGUCCGUGUUUUUUCCCCCAAUGGUUAUUUGAUUUUUUGACCGUUGGGGGUCUAACGGCAAAAAAACCCCUAUAAAACCCCCUCCUAUUUUUUCACACAUUAUUUCUUCAAUUUUUUUUUUAAUUUUCUCAAAGCUCUCUUUAAUUUUGGCAAAGAAGCUCUGUUUAAUUUUUUUUUCUGAAUUAGUUUUUUUUAUAAUUUCAAAAAUAUUUGAUCGUGUUAGAAAUGGCCGGGGAAUUAAUUCGUCUCGAUCAUAAACAUAUCUUCGUCGAACAAAUGAGAAUGGUAAGGGUUAAUUUUAAUUUUUUAAUAUUAUUUAAUAUUUUUUUCAUUUACGUAAUUUUAAUUAAAUUUUAUUUUAUAUUUUUUUAUAACAGUCUGUAGAUCAGGUGUUACAAUGUUAUAUUCGUAAUAUGCCUGGUUCUCCAUCACCGUUGAUAGAGAAUUACUUGCGGGAAGCGGAUUUUUGGCACGUGGCCACUAUAAGCCAGGGGUACAAGUUAGACCCGAAACUCAUUAGCGCGUUGAUAGAGAGGUGGAGCCCCGAGACGCACACAUUCCAUCUUCCAUGCGGAGAGUGUACCAUCACUUUGGAAGACGUGCAGUUACAAUUGGGAUUACCGGUGGAUGGGUCUGCACUCACCGUGUUCGUUCAAUCUACUGAUUGGGGAGUCGUAUGCUACGAUCUUUUGGGUGCGAUUCUGAAUAAUAUCUACUGAAUUAGAAAGAAUACGAUAUGCUCGGGCAUACAUUCUUGAGAUAAUUGGAGAUUAUUUGAUGCCGGACUUGUCACAAAACCUCACACAUCUGAGGUGGUUGCUGAAACUCAUUGAUUUUAAAGCAACUGGCAAAUUUAGUUGGGGGUUUGUCGCGUUGAUAACAUUGUACUGGGAGAUGUGCGGGGCGACGCCACCAACUAAAGCCAAAAUCGGAGGUUGCCUAUCACUACUACAAUCAUUGGCUCAAUUUCACUUUCUAUUUUUACGUCUUCGAGUGGACCACCCAUAUACAUUCCCACUCAUAACGAAUUAAAAUUUAUAUUAGAUUUUAAAAUGAUUACAUGGAUUUAAAAUAUAAUUGUAUGCUAAAAUUUUAUUUAAUUAGGUGGAACCAUUUGGCGAGUUAUGCUGGAAUAUCUACCGCUCUUAAAGAUAUACGGCUUCUAUUAGACCGACGGUCGAAAGCGCAAGUAAGUAUUAAAUAAUAUAUAUACAUAAAAUAGUCGUUUCAUAUUUAGCAUUUAGUAUAAUGUAUAUAACUAAUAUUUUUAUCAUGUUCAUAUAGUUUCAAUGGACACCAUACAAGGAUUCGGAAAUUCGGGCAGUAAUUUCGGAUGAAUUCUUUCAAAAUCCAAACAUUUGGCAUGUGAAUGUCUCAUUGAUCAACUAUGCUACCAUGGAGAUGCAUCAGACGGAUAGAGUGUUGCGGCAAUUUGGAUUUCAACAACCGGUUCUCGUGGCACCUGAGGUGCUCGAUGAUGAGCACAAAAUUAACUUACAGCAAUCGAAUACGAAUUGGCCGAUAUUCUGGUCGAAAUAUAUCGAAAUGUAGAAAAAUCGGUAGUAUUACGCUAGCUAACAUAUUUGAAUCCAUUUUGGGAUGAUUUAGUGAAACACCUUUCAACGAAGUACGUUAAAUAAUACAACAUUACGUAAUAAUAGUAUUAUUCAAAAACCCUAAACAUCCAGUGAUAUUGUACCGACAACACAUGUAUGUGGACAUUUGUACUUUUUUAUCUCCCACGAGUCUGUCUUUUUCCUAACCGAAGCCAUAAUUUUCUAUGAAUAUGUACCGUCUUGCACUGCACACUUGGCCUUGAAUUUAUCGGAUUUGGAUUUAACCACGUUGUAGUUAACCCCGUUCACGAUGCUAUGUUGUUUCAAUGUACCAAGAAAACUAUUCUUACUGGAAAACUCCUUACCAACUUCCAAUUCACUCGAAUCCAAUGAUGAACUUGUACGGUCACGCCUUCUGUGUGGUAGAUCUAGAAACUCCAACGCAUCAUCUUCUGAUAAAUCGACAUUAUGCAUGUAGGCUGGAGGCGAGUACGCCCUAGAUCGCAGAUCUUCUUCUUCUUCAUCUGAACCUCCUUCAACAUCUUCAGGUUCGGUUGGAACAGGCUUCGGUUCAGAAAAUAAUACAACUUCUGCACCAUCGGGGCGAAGCUCUCGAGGUGGAUCCAUAUCAGACUCAUCAUCCAACCCACCAUCAUCUGCAAUGUAUGAGGUCCCCUUACUGGUGGACGUCGUAAUGAGUACAUCAUCCCAUCUCGUGGACGUUUCUUAACGUCCCCAAUCAGAUGUGGAUUGCCAACCACUAGAGGUUGAUGUCAUUCUCCAGUACAUAUUUCUAGCAUCGAACAUCGACCCACCGAGGUGCAUGUCCCAUCCACUAAUCGAGUGUCGUGCAGGGGUUGUGUAUUCCAUACUGCUACCAAACACAGGCGCUUUCGUGUUCUGCCUCCCACUGACGGAGUGUCGAGCAGGGGUCGUGUAUACCUAUCGAACAGCAGUAGAUGUUGAAGUCGCAAAUGCUUUAUUUGGCGAUGAAAAUUGUACAUAUAACUCAAGAUAGGGUGAUCCACUAGCGAGAUGAGUCUGCACCAUCGCCUCCAAGCUACGACCACCUUUGAUAUCAAAUGAUUCAUAUGUCACGGGAUCAACCGAAGCACAAAAUUGAUACUUAAUAGACGAAACUCUCGUUGGCGUCAUUCUGAAGAUUUUACGCCUAAUUCUUUUACGAAGUUCUGGUUAAAAACUAGUCGCGUUAUGUUCUCCGAUAAAAAAACAACGCCGUUCUCGGUGUCACGGACCUCACCAUCAUAGUAAAUAACAACACUAAUACGUUCACUCAUCUUUAAUUUCUAUUAUACUUAGCCUCCUUAAAUUUUCUUGCUGUAACUUAUGCAACCUGAGAAUGAAAUUUGGCUCAUUUAUAGUCUAAGGCCAAACAGGAACUACUGUAGAAAAAGAGCAUCCACGUGGGAACUUUUUUCAUCAAUUUUACUGACAGUGCAUCCUGCUUGAAGCGUUUUUGACACCAUUUUCUAAUGAUGGCUCCAACAUGCAAAAAGCCCUAACUCUAGAAAAACACGAGCUAAAACACGUCCCUGGGAGAGCGAUUUUGCCAUGUCAGCAAAGCGCGUCCAUGUGGGCGCGUUUUGUGCUGACAUGGCAAAAUCGCUCCCCAGGGACAUGUUUUGCUGAAAAUUCCCCAAAAAACGCUCCUACGUGGAUGUGUUUUGCUAAAAUUGGCCCUUUCUGAUAAAUAAUGAAAAAAUUGGCCCAUUUCGCAAAUAAAGUUGGAAAUGGGCCUUUAUUGGUAUAAUGGUCUGUAGAUCAAGUUUUUUUUUAGCUUCAUUCAAAAAUUAUAGUCAUGUUUUUAGGGUAGGUUACAUAAUCAUCUAAACAGACCUUCGAGUAAAAAUGUGAACAACAUUUUCAAAUAUAUAUUUAAAAUAAAAUUAUAAUAUAUUAGAAAAUUUAUUACAAGUGUAUUUGUGUAAAAAUCAUAAAUUUAGAACAUAAAUACAUGUUUAUAAAUAACAUAUAACAAAUAAAUAAAAAUUAUGGUUUGAACUAACUAAUAAUAACACAUGAAAUAUGUAUGUUAUUAGAAUGAAAAAAAAUUAGAUUAAAUUAUUUAUCAUGAUGUUAUAAUCAAUAUUGAGCUGGUGUUGAAUUAACUUUUAAUAUCAACUCAAUCAAAUACAUUAUUAAGAUAUACAACUAAUGGAGGUAAUAGAAUGUAUAUAAUAAAAUUAAAAAAUAUCAAAAUAAAAUUUUAGUUGAACAGUAAAUUAAAGGUUUUUACCAGUGCAAUUGAGAUGGGCUUGAAUCCCACCAUAUACAUAUUUUAAAUGAUUUUAAAGUGAAAAGACUAAAAUACCCUCAAAUAAUAUUAUUUAUUUUAAUUACAGAAGGACAUUCUCAUAAUUUUCUAACUAAUUUGGUGCCCAGUUGACUCAUAACACUAACUCAGUAAGGAGUUUAAGUAAUAAUAUAGAUGUACAAUUAACGGAGAUAAUAGAGUGUGCAUAAUGAAAUUAAAUCGUAUGAAAAUAUUAAAUUAAAUUUUUAGUUGAGUGGUAAAUUAAAGGUUUACUAAUGCAAUUAGUGUGGAUUAAAAUCUCACUAUGUAUAUAUUUUAAUGAUUUUUAAAGUAAAAAAAACUAAAAUAUCCUCGAAUAAUAUCACCUAUUUUAAUUACGAAUGAGCAUUCCGUAAUUUCCUAAUCGAGUUGAUGUCUGGUUGACUCGUGCUACUAACUCAGUAAGGAGUUCAAAUAAUAAUAUAGAUUUUUAAUUGAUAUAGUAUACAUUUUAGGGUUAAUAUACUAUUUGGUACAAUAUUUGGCUUGAAUGUUCAAUUUGAUACUUGAGGUUUUAUUUUGUCCAAUUUAAUACCUGAGUUUGUCUUCAAUGUUUAGUUUGAUACCUAAGUUUUUUUAAAUUGAUACUUAAGUUUUUAUUUGCCUCAAACAAGUACCUAAGUGUGACUUUAAUGUUUAAUUUGAUACAUGAGUUUUUCUUUUGUCCCAAUUAAGUACCCAUGUUUCUUUUUACUAGAGUAGAGGUCAAAUAUUUAUUGGAUCACACAAUGUUGUUCAAUUUGGGCACUAAAUUGAACAUUGAAGCCAAAUUUAAGUACUAAAUAAAGACAAAAAAGCUUAGAUAUCAAAUUCAACAUUAAAACCAAAUAUAGAUAUUAAAUGGUAUAUUAAUCCAAAAUUUUAAUGAACAUACAAGUAAAAAAGUUUAAAUGCAAUUUAACAAUAAAUUUGAAAUUUUCGAUCAAUAUGCAAUUUAUUAUAUAUUAUUUUUUUAAAAAAAUAAGAUGAAUUAAUAUAUUAGUUUUCUUGAAAAAGUAAAGCUUAUACAUAUAUAUAUUUCAUUUCGUGCUCAAAACCAUAGCCUAUUUUUUUUUGUUCUUUCUAAAUUCUAAUACACGUCAACUUUGUUAAUUAAAAAUUCAAAGCCAAGAAAACAAUUAUUAAGACACAAAAAUCGGAUCUCCCUCCUGACCAACACUUCCCCAUUACAAAAUGAUAAAAUGCCAAUCCAGAAGUAACAUAUUGAAAGUUUAAAACGAGAAAGAAAAUUACAACAAUACAAAUACAAACACGCAUACAAAAACCAAUACUCGAAACACAACACGGUUCAGGUAUUACUCUGAACGAUUUGGCAAUUCCUGUACAAUUCAAAUCAACCCUUCACGGUGGCCAUGGCUUUCUGUAAAGCUCUUCCUUCAAAUACAAGUGAUCCCAUCUUCUUAAUCCGGAACAGCCUACAUUUACAAGUGCUUUUUAUCUUCACCAUCAUCGUCUCCAUCUUCCAACUUGUAUGUGCUGAAGUGAUUGACCUUGAACCUCCAUUCUCCUUUGAUGGGAUCAUAGGAGAGAAACUCAGCUCCUUGCUCCUCUGCCUUCCUCUUAAGCAUGUUCUUGUAUUUCUCGACUCGUGGCCCUUCUGUAUACUGCUGCCUGGUCUUUUUAUCGAAGCAUUUAAUGUUGAGAAGUGUUACCUCAGCAGGUUUAUUAAGACCUUGUCCGACAGGAGGUUUCUUGCUGUCAUCCAAGUAAACAAUCACCUCACGGUUGUUGAAUUGGACAAGGGACUCCAGAUCAAGACGUCUCACAUCGGUCUCACCCGAGAAUUUGAUGCUUCCGUAACCAUGCCGCCCAACCACAAAAUCCUUUACACGGCGACAGUACCCUGGUUCAGCCCUUUCCUUCGCUGCUAGUUCUUGGAUUCGAGGUUCUGUAAAGUAGUCAAAACGGCGGAGCUUUGGCAUUAGAGCCUCGAUGUCAGCCCCAUGCUCAUAGACAAUAGCUGCUUCACCAGCUCUGUGACCACUGAUCGUCAUGUACAAGUCCUCUUUCUCGGUAGAAUAAUCAUCAUGGACUCCAUUAGCCUUUUGGUUACUUCUGAUGAUAUGAAUUCGCUCCUUCACAAGGCCAUUUUCAGCAGGAUUUUCUACAAUGAUCAUACCAUUGCAAUUUCAGGUAAAAGAUAAAAUGGCACAAUAGGAAAUUAAAGGUGAUUAUAAUUCCAGGUAAAAGACACUACUUACCGUCUUUAUCCUCAGCGUUGGAGCCAUCAUUAGAAAAUUUGCCUAAAUUAAAAUGUUGCUCCGAAGAGUCAGCCACAAGGACUCAAAAAUUAAUGUAAUCAAACCAUAAAAAAGAAUCACAUACAAAUUAUACUGCAUUUUCUCAGUGCAAUGAGAAUACUGUAUGGUACUAGAAACGACUUCUUGCAACAGAUGACAAUACAAUUUUCUCCGUAGGCCAAUUUGUAUCGCAUGAUUAUCUUCAUUAAUUGACUGAAAUCCAUGGGUGUUCGUAUGUGGGUGCGUUUGAGAGAGAUACGGGUAGCAUAAAAAUGAACUCUCGCUACCGACUUCCCAAAGAUUAUAUAUUAUUCAAAAGGACUUUAGCAAUAGCAUUUUAAGAAUAUCACUAAGAAUCUUAUAUGAUUCAAAGCAAUAAUAAGAUUUAAAGCAAUAAACUUUUGUCCCUAUCUAUAAGCCUUUCUUCUAAUCUCACAGGGUAUGAAAAAAGGUUCGCAGAUGAGCUUCAAAGCACCUUACCAUUCUCAUGCGGCGGAGUGGAUGCAUCCUUCAAUGGUGAUGCCUUCUCUGCAGAAGCUCUGGACGGCCAACUUUUUGUGGGGCGAAUGACCAGAGACCUUGGGUUUUCCCUAGGAAUAAAAACAGCACCGGCCUUAGGCACGCAGGGUGUCUCUUCAUCAUCACUGAAAAAUGGAAUCUGCAGAUAUUGAUUAACAAAUGAAAUAAUCACAUGUUAGAACUCUAACCUCAUAUCACGAGCAAUGUAAUAGCAUUUUAAAUCAGAUCAGAGUUACUACUUUCAUGAGAUGCAGCAUCCUCACCUUUGGACUAUCAUUAUUAGGAUGAUAUUUCCUUGUAGGCAACCUAAUCCGCCUUUGCGACAAGUAUCGAGAAGUCAAUAAGGGCAAUAUUCUAACAGGAGCAGGUUUGUCCACAACCUGAUAAAUUCAUUACCAGUCAACCAAUUAAUACCAUUAUAUUUUAUUUCACACAAAAAUCAAUGCCAAUAGUAAUUACUAGCAUGAAGACAGAAAAAAUCAGAGAAACAUCUAAAAGUAAAAAAACAGCAGACUCAAACUUGAAGCCUCGAUAACUAAAGCAAAGUCAAGUUACAGGCAUGCUAGAAAUUCCAUAUUGAACAGAUGGGGCAGCCCCAGUCCGACCAAUUGAGAUUUGUGGCAUAGCAGGGAGUGUUCCAUAGGGGUUUGCAAUAGUCGAGGGUUGUGCUACAGCUGCACUCUGUGUAGAAGACCUGUCAAACAGAAGAGCACGCAGGAUAAGCUCCAAAAUGUAAUCAUUCAAUUAUUUGGUUAACCAAGGACAACUUAUUCUGGCAUACUUUUGCAUUUACGAGUACAAAGGUACAAGAAAAAUUAUAUACCAGUAACGAAUAUGCAUAUGUUUGUAGGCAUAUAUAAGGAUAUGUAUAAGAGCAACUGAAAGUAGAAAGAAAAACCCAAAGGAAAUUACACAUACGACAAGCCAAUGUUACUCUGACCAAAAAUGCUUGAACCACCACCUAUAAAGCCGGCAACAUCAUUAAAGUCAGCACUAUCAAAGAAAGCUUAAACAUUGAAUGAUAAGACAUCUACUACCUGGUUGUGACUGACCAAAAUUGCUGAAACUGAAAGCACCACUAGUCUGAGCUGGCUGAAAAGGAGAAGAAAAAGGGGGCUGCACAAACAGUGGAGAAGGAAGCAUGUUUUACGAAAAGACUCAAGCAUAAACUUAAGAGUAUUAAAACAAAUUAAACAUAGCAAAACUGCUCAAACAUAUAGCUAAGCAUUUUUUUCAUAAAAUGGUUAAAACACAUUUCAACAAAUAGUCAUGACAUUUAAUCAAAUCAGUCCCCAGGAACCCUGAUCUUUAGAUGCAUAUAGAAACUAUCCUCAGGAAUUAGCAAUUGUGCUUCUUCAUUCAACAAAACAAAGGCAUCUAAAUCUGGAAAGAACAGAGAAACUCUUAUUUGGUUCUAUAUAAUUUACGCAAUACAAAAGCAAAAAACUGGGUCCUACUGCCAACUAAAUCAGACAUCUAGGAAGACUAAAACAACCAAAAUUAAAGCCUCAUUCUAUAAACCAAAUCACAAGAACAAAGGAACAUAAAUAUGAUGAAAAGAAGAAUGAUUGUAAAGAUUUCACAAGCUACUUACAGUUGUUGAGCCAAAGGCAGCUGGGCUGCUAGAAGGAGCGAAAGAUAGUGAGCUUGAAAACAUAUUCCCACCAAACCCAGCGGAAGGUGUGUUGAAAAUGCUUGUUUGACCAAAAUUAGUAGUAUUCUGUCCAAAUGUAGAGGUCACCUGCCCAAAAGCAUUGCCUGUCUGCCCAAUUGCAGGGGUAGAACUGAACAGGGGGGAUGUCUGACUGCUGCUAAAAUUUAAACCAGUAGCAAAUGUAGGCGUUGUUGCCGGAGUUACACUAGUGCCAAAAAUGGAUAACGAAGUUGAAAAGGAAGGAGUGACAGAUGAACUAAAAAGAGAAGACCCAGUUCCAAAUGUAGGAGUGGAAGAUGAACUAAAUAUUGAAGUUGUCAUUGAUGAAGUUUGCCCAAAAAGGCUUGAUGAAGUCGAUUGAAAAGGAUUUGAUGUAGUUGCUGAGGUUGUAAAACCUGUACUAUUAAAGGAUGGAGGUUUUAGACUAAAUGGAUUGGUACUUGUGCUGGAAAAAGGAUUUGCAGAUGUCUGACCAAAUGUUGAAGAGGUGCUGAAAGGAUUUGAAGGUGAAGUUGACACACCAAAGCCAAUCCCUGCAGAAGGCUGAGAAGCUGGAUUCGGUCCACCUGAAAUUUCAAAUUCAUACAUCAAGGUACUCAAUGUCAAGCAAAGAAAAGAAGAAAUUUUAACUGGACAAGUUUUACAAAGAUACCUUUAUCUCCUAACUGAUAAUCCUCCCAUCUCAACUCCUCGUGACUUUUAUCUUUGUAAACAGGCAUUGCUGAUAUUGACUCCAAUUUUCCAGCUGGCUGUGUACCACUCCCUCCAUCUGCUUCAGUAGUAGAAGAGUACGGAGCUACUCUACUUCCCCCACGUUGACCCCCAAAAGGUGACUGGCCAAAGCUAGUGCUUCCAAAUGCUGGUGUUGAAGAUUGACUUCCUACAUGAGAGUUUAAAAGAAUUUUAAUUAUAUACAUGAACUUCACAGUGCUCAAAAUAUGGAAGGCCAGUGAAAAUAUAUACUUCACCCAAACUGUUUUUGAAGUUCAUAACUGAUCAUUCAGACCUUGCUACUCACCAAAAGGAGAACUCUGGGCUCCAAAUGCAGUGGUUCCAAAUGGACUACUACCGAAUGCUGGUGUGGACUGGCCAAAAGUUGGGCUAGACCCAAAGCUGAAGGAAGGAGUAGAAGAUGCUCCAAAAGCAGGACUGCUUGAAGUGCCAAAAGCAGGUGUGCUUGAUGCUCCAAAUGUGCCUUCUGUGCCAAAGACAGAGGCAUUAGACAUGCCAAAUGUAGUUCCACUGCUCCCGAAUGCUGGACUUCCAGUUGAACCAAAGGCCGGAGUGCUGGUAGCACCAAAGGCAGGGGUGCUUGUGGAACCAAAGGCAGGAGUGCUCGUGGCACCAAAGCUACCAAAUGCUGGUGUUGACUGCCCAAAUGCUGACCCAAAGCUGAAUGAUGGACUUGAAGAUGCUCCAAAAGCAGGAGGGCUCGAACCCCCAAAUGCAGGAGUGCUGGAAGUGCCAAAAGCAGGUGUGCUUGAUGCUCCAAAUGUGCCACCUGUUCCAAAGACUGGGGCAUUGGACACACCAAAUGCAGUUCCAGUGCUCCCAAAUGCUGGACUUCCAGUUGAACCAAAGGCAGGGGUGCUUGUGGCACCAAAGGCUGGAGUACUCAUGGAACCAAAGGCAGGGGUACUUGUGCCACCAAAAGCAGGGGCACUCGUGGCACCAAAAGCAGGGGCACUCGUGGCACCAAAGGCAGGGGUACUUGUGGCACCAAAAGCAGAGGUGCUUGUGGCACCGAAGGCAGGAGUACUGGAACCAAAAGGUACAGAGGAACCAAAUAUACCACUACCAAAUGCAGGUUGUGAUUGUUGCAUUGUGCUUCCAAAAGGACUUGAUUGAGUAGUAGUAGACCCAAAGCCAAAUGCAGGCUUCUGACCGAAAACAGAAGACCCUAUCCACAAGAAAGGUCAUCAUUUCAAAACUGAGGAAAAUUAACCAACUCACCCAAGAGCUAAAGAAUAAAAAGUCAUCAUAUACGAAUAACUAAAGGCAAAUUACAAAAACCUAGCAAAUUAAAUGUAUAUUAGAAACAACAAGAGCCCCCAAUUAAAAGGAUGAUCUCAUUCAAGAUCAUAUUUAGGUGCAAAAUGAAGAAUGAAACAAACAAGCAAGUCUCCCAUAGAUGAAACAGCAAAUUCUUCCAUCUCUGAAAAAUAAAAAGUGUAACUAAAUGGUAACAUGAAUAUAUUUAUGCAUGUACACAUGCUUAAACAUAAGUAUAACAACUCAAUGAUCUAUGCAUGUGUGGCGUUGGAACACUAGGAAUAAAGCAUCACAGAAAAUCAAAAGACUAAAAGGCAUUAAACUUUCAAAUCAUAUUCUCUUAACAUAUUUAUCUACAACAGAAGGAAUAUGAAAUGAAGAUGAACUGAAUUAUAAUACCAGAAAAGAAAAGAAAAAUACAGAAACACUUACCACCAAAAGAUGAUGAUGAACUGCCAAAUGCAGGAGUAGAAGAAGAUCCAAAAGCAGGCAUGGAACUUCCAAAAGCUGGAGAUGAUGAAGCACCAAAGGCAGUUGUUGAGGAAAAGGGAGAAGAAGAUUGGGCGGAGCCAAACACUCCAGUAGAAGUACCCCCAAAUAUUGAACCACCUGUUUGUGAUCCAAAAGGGGUAAUGCUACCAAAGGAAGGUUUUGGAGCAAAUGGAUUGCUAUUUGCAUUGUUGGUCUGGCCAAAAACAGAUUGGGAAGCAAAUGGGCUACUUGAUGAUUGCCCAAAAGCUGUUUAAUAUGUUUCUAACAAUUAAUUAAUUUCCCAAAAACAGAAAGUUCACAAGUAAAAACAAAUUCAUUCUCAAAAAGGAUAACAUGUAACAUAUAGAUAAAAGAUAACAACAAAAUUUAAACACAAACGGAAAAUUACAAGCAUAAAUAUCACAAACAAAGCACAAAUAGUUGGCAAAUAACAAGCACAAUGAUUCGACUAAUCAUUAAAAUAUUAUGACUAACAACAGAUCAAGAAGCUAAACACCCUACUCAAUAGUUAACCCGCAAGAUACUUGUAAACACGUAAAAGCAAAAGGUAACAAUAAUUUAUGGAUAUCACCGCAAGCAAAAUGCAACAAAGAAUCCUAGACUCGGAAUUCCAAAAUUACUAACUAGCCACAAGCUCCAAGUUUUAAUAAAGAACAGAAGCUAAAUCAUACAUCCAUCGAAAAAAUCAGCUCAACGAAUCAAAUCAAAAUAAGAUCUCCAGUACAUUUUCUACCGGAUUUAAUAAAUAAAACUACAAUAAACACUUACGGCUAGUUGAACCAAACAUCUUCGUUUAUAUAUAGCUCUUCACUUCAUAGCUCGUCCUUGAUCACAUCAAAGUCAAACAAACACGAAAAAACUAUAUAAUAAGUAAUAAAUCAAUAAACUCCAUGCGAAAUUUGAAUCAACAUUGCGAUAAAAAUAAAUCAAAACGCAGUAAAACAUUAAGCAAUGAAACCAAACUUCGGAUCCAUCGAAGCAUUAGAGAGAGAAGAAUAUACCAAUGUGAUCAAUGCUUCAACGAAAAAGGCUUAGCUAUAGAAUGUACUUUGCAAUUGCGAGACCUAUUAUGUGCGUAUGAUUAAUAAAAAAAGGGGGGGGGGAAUGUGAUAGGUAGCGCGUGGGAAUGAGCAGUGAAACAGUGGGGAGUGGGAGAGAAAAAGGUGAAAGAAGGAAAAUUAGGUUUUGCAGAGAAAGGAAGGGAAGGGCUAUAUUGGGAUCGAUCUAAAUCGGGGGAGAUUAGAAGAUUAUUGUGUCGGAGAGAUAAAGAGCCCCGGAAUAGAAAGGGUGGGGCGAGAGAAAGAGAGAGAAGAAGAACCCCGAAUAGAGCGACGAAGGGGAGGGGGUUCGUAGGGUCGGGUGAUUCACGUAGCGUUGUUUUUAAGUCCGGAUGGAUAGUUUUUCAUUUCGCAGCGUAGCGUUUUUCGGCUUUGUUGGGUCGUAAUAUUUACUUGGCUGUUACUAUGUCUAAAAAUAAAUUUGUUAAAUUGAUCCAUGAUUCGAUUAAAUAAAUUUAUAAAUAAUUAUAAUUUAUAAAUAAUUUGAUUUUCAAUUUUUAUCGAUUUAUAAAUAAUUUGAUCUAUAAAUAGUCUUACAUCACUGGUCAAAUCAAUUAGAUAAUGAAAAUUACAAAGUUUUCAAAGCUAAACCUGUGAUCAAACUAGUCACACAAUCGAUUUUCGAAGCAACAAAAUUUUCCAAUUUGAUUGAAUAAUGUUAUUGAACAUUUUAAAAACCCGAAAUUCGACCUGAUCACAUGAAAAUGAAAGCUCUCGCACACGAUCAUUUCUCCACCACCAUCUCGCCACUUCGCAGAUGAUCACCUUGCCUCACCAUCUCACAAGGUCACAAACCGACUGUGACCAACACCAUGUGAGGUGUCAUCUCACCUCCUCGUGGGAGAAGACACGUUUCAAGGUACGUAUCCAGCCUGAGGGGGUGAACGUGUCUUGCGCAUGGCACCUCACGGUCCUCUAAUACGUGACAUUGAGGAACCGUGCCUUAUAAAUAUGAAAAAGGAUGCUCCUAAGAAAAGAGAACAAGAAAGAACCUCGAGAAAUAAAUUAUUAAAAAUAGAGAAAACCGAUUCAACUAGUUCGACCAAUCCAACCACUAAACCUUAUUUCAAACCAACUGAUUCUCAAUCCACCAACCAAUUUGAUUCAAAUUUGAAAAUUGUGGAGCAUGUUAAAACCUCAAAUACACUGCAAUUAAACAUGGAGCAUGUUUAAAUUUACAAGAAUCAAAUUAUAAACGCCAAUGUUGCUCUAUGAUUUGUACACACAAAUUCCUUAUCUAAUAUCCGAGCAAUUCAAAAUGAACUUAGUUGAUAUAAUAAAGGUACUUUAAUGCCUAAUUAAAAUUAAAACAUUUUUAGGUUCAAGAUCAAGUUAGAAUAAGGAUACAAUUAACCCAUUUACGACGGCCGGCAAUGGCUAAGGUUAGAACAUCAAACAGUUUCAAACCAAACCUCUAGAUGGAAUCCUAACUCACUCGCCUGCAACAUCGAGCUCGAAGAAAGGGAAGAGAUUUACCGACAAAGCAUACUAAUCGAUCAAGAGACUAUACGAAAAAAUAAUUAAAAUACAAUACAAACAUGUAUCAAAAUCUAGAGGAUUUUCUAAUGAACUUACACUUAUAUUGUAAAAUGGCAAUAUGGGGCAAACAUAGUACUAGCAAAUAUUGAUACAAAUGACAAAAAGUAAGCAACUACAGAACCAAUUCUUUCUUUUUCGGUUCGAGAACCGGUGGAUCAAUGUCAAUUCCCAUAUUAGCAGCUGUCCCGGCUAUAAUUCUCAUAGCCGAUUCAAUGGUUGUACAAUUCAGAUCAGGUAGCUUUUCAGUAGCAAUUGCACGUAAUUGAUCGAUCGUGAUCUUCCCCACUUUCUCUUGUUUCGGGUCCUUGGCACCUUUCUCCACUCCUAAAACACCAUAAAAUGUAAUAAUAACCAAUUUGCAUUAUAAUUCGAAGAAAGUAAGAAACGAUAGCCAAAAAUUGUUCUCUUAUGCGCAAGUUACUCAUGCAAGGAAUCUGCUACUACGGUGACUAUUCCGGGACAAGAUGGUUAAAACUUUCAAUCAUCUUGAUCAAAUGCUGCAUGCCUAAGAAGAUCAACCACAACCUACCAUGUUCAUAUGACUAAUAACUAGUAAAUUAGUCAUUAAUUAAUGGCCCGUAGAAGAUGUAUCCAUUAGACCGACAUUGGUUAAUAUAUAUACAAUGACAAAGGGAACAAGGUUUAUGUAAAGAGAAAAGAUCGGUGAUAUCGAAGCAUCAGUCACACUGUGAAAAUCUUUAUACCAACAUGCAAAUAAAUCUAGCUUCACAUAAACAACCAUCUUACUCGGACUCAAGUGGGAAUGUUGUAUACGGGUAUAUGCCUAACAUAGGUAGGCAAGUUCAAUUUUCUAAGUUUCUUCAUGUGUUUCGAGAGUCCUUGGAGGGAGCAUAUCUCCCUACUCAUGUCCCAAUAUAUCGAACAUAAGUAUCCAACACAGGUACUUAAAAGAAACCAUUUUGUCUGAAGCUAGAGAUUUCAAUUGCAUGUCAUAAACAUAGAAGCCAUUUUUGUUUACCUUGAACAAGAACAUUGUUGAGGGGAGGUCGCUCUAUGGUCCGGUCUCGGACCCUCAACGGAGAUAUUACUUCCGAGUUGUCUAUGCUCAGUUUUAGCCCCGGAUUUUGUCUCCCUACUCCGGGGAGAGCCCAAGCGAACCCCACCAAGACCAAAUGCUAAACAUUUCCUUGGUGGACUAGGCACAAUUCCAUGAACCCCUAUGGGCUCUCCUCGGAGUAGGGAGACAAAACCUGGGGCUAAUACCAAGUAUAGACACCUCAGAAACAAUUCCUCCGUUGAGGGUCCAAGACCGGCCCAGAGAGCGACCUCCCCUCAACAAACAUAAAUACAAGCAGUAACAUAUGGAAGAAAACACUGAAUUAUCCCUUACACCAAACAUAAAAUCGCACCAUGUUUAAAGAAAGAUGCUAACAACUUUGAAUGUUCAUUGAUGAGUGACUUAACAAAGAAAUAUACCUGCUGCCUUCAGUAACAAAACAGAAGCAGGGGGUGUCUUCAAAAUGAAAGUAAAGCUUCGGUCCUGGAAAGUAAUUAAACGAAAGGAAAUCAUCACCAUUAUUGAUUUUAGCAAAAAAAAGGUUCAAAAACUGAAGAAAUGAUUAUAAAUAAAUAAAGAAAACCCACAUCGUAGACAGUAAUUUCGACAGGGAUAACAUAACCAGCUUUAUCAGCAGUUCUAGCAUUGUAAUCCUUACAAAAGGCCAUUAUAUUUACACCCUUUGCCCCAAGCGCCGGUCCGACAGGCGGCGCCGGUGUCGCCUUGCCUGCCUCCAGAGCUAAUUUUAUCAGCCCAACCACUGCAAAAACACACAAAAUUACAAUAAAUUUAAGGAAAUUCAAAAUUGGGUAUCGAAUAAUAAAGGAAAGACAUGAACAAAUCUAAAAACCUUUCUUGGCUUUGCCACCCGGUUUAGGAGGAGCCAUGGCGAUAACAGUUAAGAACCUUGGAGUUGAAGAGACGAAUGGGGGUUGUUUUCUGUUGAGGAAUUGGAUAGAAAUGUUGGGGUUUGAAGAUAAGGUGGUGGGUGAAGGACAAAGAGAAGAUGAAAGUUUGGCAUUGUCGAUAGUUCGGGGUGAAAAUGAAGAGCUGAGGUGAUGGAAAGUGGAUAAAGAAGAUGCCAUUGAUGAGGCUAAAUGAAAGAGAGCAAAAGUUUCAGAAAAUGAACAAGAAGAGCUACUAAAUCUUUUUGGAUAAAACCCAGAAUUUCUAUCUUCAAAAUUUUCAUCCUAAUUUUCGAUUGGGCUUCCAUUUUUCAAUUGGAGCUGGGUUUCACUCUGCAAACAAUUCUCUUUUUGGGCUCAUUUCCCUAUUCUUUUUGCAUCUUAAGUGCUUGAAAUGAAAAUAAAAUGACAUGAUUUUAUAUGAGUUGGCUUAGAGUAAAAUAUUCACAUUUUAAUGGUUUGGUUGGUUUGUUUGAACGGUAUUCAAUGAAAUUUAUAGAAUGGAUAGUUUUGUAAUACCUUCAACUUAUAUUGAAUUAGUUUAUUGGAAAUGAUUAAAUGAUUUAUUUUGAUAUGAAAUGUUGUGUUUGGGUAUGUUUUUAAGUGAUUAUGUUGGAUGGUUUAAUUCGAAUUUUGAAACAGACAUCAAAUGGUUCAUGUUUACUAAAAACAGGGUUUUCAUCCCAAUGAUCAUUUUUUCUCGUCACAACGUCGGCCGACAGUAUGUGACAUCGCGACGUCAGGUGGCUUGACGUCGUGACAUCAUCUGGCAUGUCAUGUCACAACGUCGAUCCUGAUUUUUUAAAAUUUUGUAAUUUGGUCAUAUUUCGAGUUUGGAUUUAUAAAAAAAAUUUUACAAGCUCGAUUAAUACUCGAUUUUGAUUGUUUAUCCAUAAAUGAAUGUGUUUGGCAUUGAAUUACAUGCGCGAAUGAUUAUUUUACCGUGAAUUGAUUGUAGUUUCUCUGACUACGAAUGUAACAUAUUAGAGCUCGGAUCUAGCGAUUGAGUUGGACGAGGGGUAUUAGAUUUUUAGAUUAAGUAUAUAUUAAAAUCCACAUUUGAGAUAUUAUUAACUUUUGCCUUUUACAUAUUAUUUGAAAAUCAAGUAUAUCUAAUCAAUUAAUUUUAUAUAAACCCUUAAAAGGUAUAUCAUUUUUAUGCCAACAAUAACACAUAUUAAUAUGAAAUAUAUAUAUAAUUAAAAAUAUAAACUUACAAUGAAAGAGUAAUUAAAAUAUAAUAAAUUAAUAAUUUAUAUCAAGAUAUAAAUAUUUAAAAAUAUAUAUUAAAAAAUUGCAUGUGAAGAUAAAAAAAAUAGGAAGGAUUUUUUUAAAAAUAAAUUACUUACAUAUCUAUAGUAAUAUACACUUUUUUAUAUCUUAUUUAUAUAUAUAUAUUUGUUGAUGUUAGAUUAAUUUGUUACAUUAAUUUAGUGAAAUUUUCAAUUAAUAGUAUAUUGAUUUUUUAGUAGAAAAUAAAUAAUAUUGUACUAACAUGGUGAUGAAUUUUUUAUUUUUCAGUAGAAAAUUUAAUGCAAACUUUACACCUCCAAAAUAUUGCCUAAAUUUGGUAAAGAUACCCUCCUUUUGUUUAAUUGUAAAGUUGAUGUUUAAGUUUGAAUUUUAUUAUGCACAAGUUAUUUUUAGAUUUUGUACAUAUCAUUAUUGAAUGAACUUUAUGCUAAGUAAAUUUUUGAUUGGUUGUCAUCUUUGAGCGAAUCUUCGACGCAAACCACCCUCGUCAAGAGCACAUGGAACCUCAAAUCCAUAAUUACAAAACUGCCCUAUAUUGUCACAUCAUCGUCUCUACAAUGAGAAAAUAUAGUGAAAUUUCAACACCUGCCAUCCCCUCCACCUCAUGCACAUAAGUCUUCUCGCUUCUCUAACUACGCAUUUUUCUUGAAAAUUCACUCUUCAUUCUUUACCAUUCAUCCAUCAUAAUAACACGGCUUUCCGCCCCCACAAAGGUGAACUGUCACUUCUCUUACCGUCCUUCCUCCUUUGUUGAUUUCUAUCAUCAACAGAUUUAUUAUUCUACAUCAUUUGUGUGACCUUUAUAGAUUUAUUUUGAUACGAUUUCAAAUAUGUUUUGAUUAUCGUUCUGAUCAUGUAUUGCAAUUGAUUUUGAUUAUAAUUAUUUAAGUAUAUUUUCAUUAUAAUCUGAUUCUAUAUUAUUGUCGAAACUAUUUUUUUUAAAUAAAAAUUAGUUUUCGAUAAAAAUUGAAAAAAUUGAGAGUCGCCACCAAUCUUUUAUUAAGGUGUAAUUUGGUCACCUAAAAACGACUUUGGUCUACGAAUUUUAGAAAAACAGGUCCGGGGGUCGGUUACAUAUGAGGAAGGAUUAGCACCCUCAUUACGCCCAAAAAUUGGUACCUAGUUAAUUAAUUAAUGUCUUAAUGUCGAAAAUUUGAAAAAUAUAAUUCUUAGCAAAAACUUAAAAAAAACGUUACGUAUUAAGACUCUUAUCAUUUCAGAGAAAGAAAAUGCUACACCCAAUGCGUUAGGGCACGACAUUCUAAUUUCCUAAAAAAUAAAUUAAGCCAAAAUACUCGUAUAAUAAAAAUUUAAAAGAAUAUCCAUUUAUUCAAUAUUUAAUAAAUCGCGGCCCAAUACGUUAGGGCACAAUUCCUCCAAAAUCUCAAACUCGAAAUAUUUCCUUUAUUAUAUAUAUAUUUUAAAAUCUUCAUUUCGAGAAAUCAAUGCGUCACAUCCAAUAUGUUAGGACACAACGUGUUGAAUUCCCAAUAAUGAGUUCUUACUUUUUGAUUAAAGAGAAAUGCUCGAUUGUUAGAUUUAACGAAGAAAAUCGGAACCUAAUACGUUAGGGCUCAAUUUCCUUGGAAAUCCUAAAUACAAGCAUUAUCUCAAUUUUGAAAAAAUUGAAAUCGAGUAAAAAAAAUGAUGUGAUGCUACAUUAAAUAUACAAUGCAAUAAUAAAUAUUACAAUGGUAUAACAAUAAUAUAAAUAAAUCAAUAAGCGAAAGUAAUAUACAUAAUAAAAAUAAUCUCAUGCAACAUAUCAAACAAAUAAAAACAUUCUUUUUUAACAUAUGAACGAAAACAUGAAUUAAUAAUCAAAUGAAAAAAAACAAAAUAUAAAGAAUAAAGGGCACAUAAUAUAUACAUUAAAAUUUAAAGACAUACACAUAAUUUACAUAUGAAUUUUUUGACUAUGAAACUUAUACAUAUAUAAUACAUGGUGCGUUUAUGAAAAUAAAAGGAAAAAAUGGAUUAUAAAGUAUAUGAAAAAAAUACAUACGUUUGCAUUUUUUUAAAAAUAAAUAUAUUCAUAUAUACAUAUAAAUACCAAAAAGAAAAAAAAUUGGUUAAAAAUAUUAAUAUGUAUACAUAUAUAUACAAAAAUACAUAUAAAUUAUAAAAUAUUUCAUUACAUAUAAAUAAAAACAUUAUUUAAAAAAUAAAUAAAUAAAUACGCGUAUGUAUAUAUGUACAAAAAAUAAAAGAUAUACAUAUAUUUAAAAAAUAAACAAAUACGAAAAAUAUAUAAAUAAUAAUAAAAUUAAUAAAAAAAUAAAGAAAAAGGGACCCAUUUGAACUGUAAGUAAAAAAUUAUGAGGCCAAUCUGCAAAUAAUUGAAGCCUGGGGACGAAAUUGAACGCGCGAAUUACAUAGAGGGGCUGGAAGGGCAAUUUUCCCUUCUUCUCAAAACGACGCCGUUUCACAUUUGGACGAAAUUGAAAACACUAAUAAAUUAAAGGGUAAAUUAAGAAAAUAAAAAAAAUUUAAUUGUAAAAACAUUAAAAGGCGGAAGGGCUAAAAGCGCAAUUUAUCCCUCCACUUAAAAACGCGCGGAUCCUAGGCCUGGUCGGGUCGGAUUCGGGUCAACCCAGGUUCAAAACGUCGUCGUUUUGAAAAGGCUAUUUAAGCCAAAUUAUCCUUCAAAAAUCAUUUUAAAACCGUUUUUUUAACAAAAAAAAGCUCUGAAAAGCUCUCCCCUCCCCCGAUAUCCGGCAUCCGGUCCAGUCAUCGGCCACCGCGCCGGCCGCCGAUCUCCAGCACCGGCACCGUCGUAUGCGGUGGCCGUAAAAGAAAAAAAUCUCGGAUCUGGUCCCUCCGAAGCCCUCAAAUGCAGAUCCAGGUUAUUUCUUUCCUUUUAUUUGUCUUCUUAUUCGUAUAAAAGUAAAUAAAAAAAAUAUAAAAAUAGUAAAUAUCAACCUUUGAAUCGAUUGUAUUGCUCUUGGUGUUUGUUGUUUUCGACUGUGGAAUAUGGAUGUUUUUAUUGAUUGCGAAUUCCCCCUUGUUUUACAGCAUUACAAUGGCUAUUUUAUAGCCGUAUGUAAUCAAUCUAAAGAAGAAACAAAUCUGUUUCUUUAUUUAAUUUACAAAUCUUUUGAUUCACUUUCCAUUUUUGUUUUUCCUUGAUGCGCAGGUGAAGAUCUACGGAGAUUCGGGGGCAUGGUUGCGGCGGCCAAAGUUUACCCUAGAACUCUAGAGUUUCUGAAAUUGUUCUUGGGCCUGGGGGUUAAUUUUGGGCCAAUCGUUGUUGUGUUUUGGUUUGGAUUUUGGGCCCAAAAAACUGUUGUAUUUGGACUGUUUUUCUUCACGAAGGCCGGGCAAAUUUGACCCAUUACAAUUAUAAUGACGGUUCUAAUUAUAAUUACACUCAAUAAUUAUUCUUAUAUAUUUAUUUUAAAAAACUUGGGCUGGAAAAAAGCCAUGUCCUAAAUAUUGAUUUGUAAAGUGCACGGGUAUUAAGUCUGAAAAACCCAUUAAACGUGCAGCUCGUGUCUUGCACACGUGAAAGUGAAGUGUGAUUUUUGUGGCCGAUGUUGUUAGAUUCAAAUGAUUUUUCUUAAAUAACGUUUUAUAUGUGAAAUAAUAAUAAUAUGACAUAUUAUAAUUAAUUUUUUAAUAAAUAUAAAAUAUUUAUAAAUAUAUUUGUAGAAAAUUUUGAAAAGAAAAUUUGAUUUUCUUUAAAAGAUAUUGUUUGCAAUAAAAUUACUCCAACUAAAAUCUAGACAUAAUUUAUUUAAAUAUAAUAUUACACAUUAGACCAAACAAUGCUGAUGUUAGAGAAAAAAUUUUAGGGGGUAAAAUUAAAUUGUAUAUUUUUAUGAUAGUAAAAAUAUAAUUUCAUCAUUUUAAUAGCCUAUAUAUUUAUAAUUUUUAAAGGAUUGAAUCAAAUUUUUAUCAUUGUUGUGAACCAAAGUGCAAUUUUACCAUUACAAAUUUAAAAUUUUAUAAAUUAUAAAUGGCCUAAAUGAAAAUUUUUCUAUUUUAAGAGGGUCGGGGCCCCUGCCAGCCACCCUGACUCCACCACUAAAACCAAAAUUUAAUUGUUAAUAUUUAUUCUUUUAUCAUUUUGAUCCUCCAAAUUUAAAAUUCAGUAAAAUUAUUUUUUUAAUAAAAAAUUGAUUGAAUUGUUAAAAUUUUAACGACAUUAAUAUAACAAAAUGUAGCAACCCACGUGUGCUCUAUUGCUCAUGAAAUUAGUACCAUUAAAAACAAAACCAAAAUAAUAAAAGAAAGUUAAAACUAAAUGAUAAAAUAAUAACUGUACGACCCAAAUUUUGCCCGGGGCCCAAAAAACUAAAGCCCAAUACCAGCAAAAAAAAUACACAGUCCAAAAUAAACAGUGGCCCAAAAUACCCAACAGGCCCAAAUUAAGAAACCUUAGCCCAAAAAUUAACCCCAUUCAGCAGUACCAAACCCUAGCCCCCAAGCCUCCAUGCGCCGCAUGCCUGCCCCUAGCCUCUGCCGCCGUCUGCCACGCCUCCAGCGCACGCCGGCCUACUCGCUCGUCUAUCACCUCAUCCGCAUGCUCUGACACCUGCAGAAGAAAGCAUCACACGCAACAAAAAGAAGCAGAAAAAUAAAUCACAAAAAAACAAAAAAAUAGAUAUCAAAAGUGGUGUAAAUCGGCUAUAAAAGCCUGGAUCUGAUACUUGUAAUUUUUCCUUUUUUACGAAUAUUUGAGAAAAUAGAAACAGAAAAAAUAUUCAAGGCUAUUUCUUUUUUUUUUAUUUCGAUCUCUCUGUUUCUUUUAUUUCUAUUAUUAUUGUUAUUAUUUUUUUAAAAACGAAUAAAAAGAAAAAGAGAAAGAAACAAACCAGAAUCGGCCUGUAGCCCCGCCGUCGGUGGUUUUUUCCCGGAGUUGGAAUCGGCAAAAAAGGAGGCAAAUGUCAAAUCUUUUUCAAUUUUUUUUUACUUUUCAGGCAUUUGCCUUGUAGAUCUAAAACCUAGGCUUAAAACGGGCUAAAAAUAAAAAAUUUGAUUCUCCGGCCACCGUGUACUGCGGCGCCAACGGCGGUGACCGGCGGCCACGACGGUGGCCAACGGCCGGAUAUUUGCCCAGACGUGGGGAGGGGGUUGAGAGUUUGAGAGAAUCUCAACUUUUUAUUUUUUUGAGAAAGAAGGAAAAAUUAAAAAAAUUAAAAAAAAUUGGGCUUUAUAGGAACAUCAAACGACGUCGUUUUGAGCCAAAGUCACCAGUGGCAAAACGGCGUCGUUUUGCCUUAAGAACCGUGGCCCGACCCAGCAGCCCACAGGAUCCGCGUGUUUUUACGGUGAAUGGGCAUUUUGCGCAGUCGGUCCCCCAUGCUUUCAGCGCAUUUCGUUUCAGUCCCCUAGCAACCUGUUUUAUUUGUUUGCAAUUUAAACUCUGAUUUUUCGUCUGAUUUCAAUUCGGUCCAUGACCUGUUUUUAUUUUUUAUUUUUAUCUCUUUUCAUUUUGUUAUUUUUUAUUAUUUCUAUUUAUAUUUUUUUUAAAAAAAGAGAGAAGGCUUCAAUAAAGUUUUCAAUUACUGUUUGCUUACUCAUACUUUUCUUAAUUUUGAUUAAUUUCAUACUUUUAUUUGUUUUAUUUAUUAUCCCUUUUUAUGUAUACUUAUGAUUAUUUGUUUUGCUUUCGCUAUUAUUAUUGUCAUCUCACUAAUAUUAUAUUUUUUAAUUUUAAAAUGUUUCUAAAAUGUGGAUACAUUAGUUCACUUUUGCUGCUAUUCUUGCUAUUGUUAGGUUGUUAUUUGCAUUAUUAUUAUUAUUCAUGCACGUUAUACUAGAACUUUUAAAUAUUAAAACAUUUGUAUUUUACGAUGUAUAUUAGGCCUUUGUUUCAAAUGCAUGUUGUAUUAUUGUUAAUAGUUAUGUACAAUUCCUUUUGCGUAUUAAAUGAUUUCUCUAAAAAACUAAUAAAUUAAAUGCAUUUUUUAAAAUGAUUUCUAAAAAACUAAAAAACUAUUCUUUUACUUAAAUUCGUAACAAAUCUCAAUAAAUAAGGCAAUAUUUUGUAUUUUAGAAAUUCGAGAAAUCGUGCCCUAACUUACUGAGCUUCGAUUUGUCUCGUUGUUUCUAAGUAAUUGAAUAUCCUUUUAAAAUUAAAAUAAAAAGUGAAAUGCAAACUUACUCUCAAAAUAUGAGAUGUUGGGUCCUAACUAACUGGGUGUGACAUCUUGCUACUUCGAGAUAAGAAAGCAUUUUUCCAUUUUGAUUUAUUCGAGUAAUUUUAAAAUAACACACGUAAAGAAGGAUCGUAUUUUUAAAUUCUUUAAAGUUCUCAAUUUUCGACACCAAGACAUUAAGUAAUCAACUAGGUACCAAUUUUGGGCGUAUCGAGGGUGCUAAUCCUUCCUCGUGCGAAACCGACUCCCGGACCCAUUUUUUCUGAAUUUCGUAGACCAAAAUCGUUGUUUUAAUAAAAAUUAAAUCGUUUAUUAAAAACAACCACUUUUCGGUGACCCGAUCACACCUUAUCAAAAAAAAGAUUGGUGGCGACUCCCGAUUUUUUCGUUUUGUUUUUAAAAUCCAAGUCGACCCCGUUUUGUCAAAAAAAUGGUGUCAACAGCUUGGCGACUCCGCUGGGGAACAAAAUAAGAGAGUCAAGCCACGUGUUGAUUGUUUCUCGUCUUUUUGUCGAAAGUUGAAAAUUAUAUUUAAAUUUACAAUCCUCUCGUUGCAUCUCUUUUGUCUUGAGUUAUAUUUUUCAUCAUGUUCUGUAUUUUAUUUUUAUACCUCUGCAUUGCAUUGCUUGACCGUGGGUCAUACCUUUUAAGUGGGAGUGAGAAACUACGCCUUCGUGAGGUUUUCACCUCCGCAUGAGAUAGUGAAUCGCUUCCGGGAUACAUCCGUACCUAUGUCUUCGUGAGAUUUUCAUCUCCGUGCAGUUAUAGGGAAAUGUAUUCCCCUGAACCGAACUCGGUCCGUAUGAGCCUAUAAUGGGUGAGGAUCGAGGAAUCUGCUGGUUCGGGUACCCUCGCUUUAGAACCAAACAACAUAUAGUGAGCCCUAAGAGCCUACCCUAUGUAGAACCACUUCAAACCCCUAGUGGUCACCCGAAUAGGUGUUCUAUUUAUUCUUGCUUACUUUUGCUCUGUACUAACCUGUUUUCUUUUGUUUUGGUUAUGAUUGCAUUACAUGUUCAUCAUAAAAAAGAGGUGUUAAUUCAUGUUCAGUUGCUAAAUAGAGAGCUUAUCAUAAGAAAAUGAGUUUCUUGAUAAAGUGGAUAAUAAUACGGUUGUCCGGAUAUGAUCUAAGAAAAUGUGAUAAGAGAAUGGUGAUAAUUUAAUGGAGGACUACACGACUUUGCUUUAUUGCCCAAGUAUUCAAGAUGACAAAGAUUAUUCGAGAGCCACUAAACUUUCUUAAAGAAAAGCCAACGAGCAUUAUGAGGAUGAGUGAGCAACGAGUCGCGGCCCAGAAGAAAUAGAAGAGACAUCCCUUUUGGAGAGUUCGUGAAAUUUAUCUUAACGCUUGAAUGAAGAAGAGGAUCGAAUGUCUCCGUAUAUGAGGGCAAAACUGUAUAUAUAUCCACUUUAUGUAAAGAGAUUUGUUUUCUAGUAAAAUUGUUCUAAUAGAAUUGAACCAAGAAUCAACGUCUCUUUUUUUUGUAUUCAUGCAUCAACAUUACAUUUCAUUGCAUACAAUAAAUUUCAUAAAAUCCAAAAAUACGCAUUCAUGCAUCAACAUUACAUUUCAUUGCAUACAAUAAAUUUCCUAAAAUCCAAAAGUACGUCGAGUUUAGAACUCUAGUACAAAACCAGAUGGAUCAGAAUUCUUUGAAUAUAUCGAUGGUUCGAAAGGUGAAGAUGUGUGUGCCUUUGAAGAAGAACUAAAAAAAUGAAAAAACCUAUCAUGAAUUUAUUUCUACAUCCCUAGAGGCGUUCUAAACAACUGGACUGUGGAGGAGAUUCUUGUAAUAUUUAGGACCAUUUCAGAGUAAUAUUUGGAACACUCUUAUUGUUCUAAGCCUGGGAGCAAUAGAAAAUCCUUUUAUGAAAAGGCAUAUGUCCACUAUUCUUUAUUUCAACGAAAUGCAUCUUUGUGUCUUGUUUUGGAAAAUAUUCUUUUGUUCCUUCCAGUUCAUUCAUACUCAUACCACACGGGUAAUUACCCUUUGAUUCGUUAGCUCUUUGAGACUUCCUUCGUCCCUAGAAUAGGUCUCCAGAUAUCAAUGAUAUGAGCGACACUGCUAUUGACUCAGAACUUUCUUUUGAGCAAGAUAUGUGUUUAGAGGAACCUCGAAACUUCGAAGAUGAUCGAGACUGUAGCUUAUCUCUUGAUUUGUUAAUGAUGGUAGAGCAAGUCGAAAAGUAAAUCCUACCUUACAAAAAAAUCAGUUGGAAAUUGUGAGCUUAGGAGAAGAGAAAAAGGUGAAGAUCAGAGCCUGUAUCACCGCAGAGACGAAGCGAGAUGUCAUUGAGUUACUCCAAGAAUUCAAAGAUGUUUUCACAUGAUCAAGAUAUGCUUGAGCUACAAAGACGUGUGGACGCCCUUAAGGAAAAGAAGAUCUUGGAAGAGGUCUAUACGGGUGUCUGAGGAACACAUGCAUUGAUUUUGCAAUGGCCAAGUGAAUCAUGAGAUAUGGGUACUACUGGUCCACCAUGGAAGGGGAUUGCAUCAGUUAUACCAAGAAACGCCACAAGGGCCAAAUUUACGGGGACAAAAUUCAAGUACCUCCAUCUAUUCAUGUUAUGACUUUUCCAUGACCUUUCUCUAUGUGGGGGCAUGGAGGUCAUUGGGCUAAUCUCGCCAAAAGCUUCUAGCGGUCAUCGAGUCAUCUUUGUAGUCAUCGAUUACUUCAUUAGGUGGGUGGGAGCUGCUUCAUAUGCCAAUAUCACAAAGCUGACAAUCAAAAAAUUUCUUGAAGAAUCAUAUGUCAAUAUGGAAUGCCAAAAAGGAUCAUAUUAGAUAAUGCAUUGAAUUUGAACAACCGCACGACAUCAGAAGUUUGCAGUCUGUUCAAGAUUAGCAUCAUGUCGCCUCAAAAUGAACAGUUCAGUGGAGGCAAAAAAUAAAAAAACAAAAAAAAGAGCAAAAAAGCAAAAAAAAGUAAGCAAAAGAAAACGAGAAAACAAAAGAAAAAAAAUAAAAAAUAAAAGAGAAAAAAUAAGAGAAAAAAAACCUCUACCAGGGCAACUCAUUUCUCAAUGGCAUUUGGAAUAGGGACAUUUUUACCCAUCGAAGUUGAUAUUUCUUCCCUUCGAGCCUUGUCAAAGUUGAAGUUGAAUGAAGUAGAAUGGAUCCAGGUCUGAUAUAAUUGAAGAGAAAAGGUUAAAAGCUAUCCGUCAUGGUCAAAUGUACCAAAAGCAAAUGAUGCGAGCUCACCAAAAAAAGGUUCACCCUAGAGAAUUCCAUGAGGGGACCUAAUAUCGAGGAAGAUCCUUCCCAUGCAAAAGGACUUCAUAGGAAAGUGUAUGUCAAACUGGAAAGGACCUUAUGUGGAAGGCCUUAUCUGAAAAAGCAUCGAUAUUGACCAAGAUGGAUGGCAAAAACCUGCCUAAUCUUGAGAAUUCUGAUUCAAGCAAUAAAUACUUCACUCAAAAAAAAGAAAACAAAAAAAAAGAAAAAAAGAACAAAAAGAAAAAUGAGAGGCCAAGGAGAAAACCCGCAAAGGGCGCCUUGAGACCAAAGGGUUUUGAAUUUAAAACCCAGAAAUGGGCAGUUCAAAUUUUGAUCAAAGGUGGGGCAUGCGGUAGUCUUGCCAUUUCUGAAUUAAUAAGAAGGAGAGAUGCUAAAUCUUGGGGCAUCAACAAAGUCUUCUAGGUCUUCUAGACACAUAUCAAGUUCAAAAGGGUCUUCAAAAUGUUUAGGGCAGAGAAGCUCAUGCUAUGAUAUCUGGGGCACCUAUUUCCAUUUUAUUCAUUUUUGUAUUUUUGACAAAAUAUGCCAUCUUGAUUAAUUUAUUCUCAUUUUGUAUUCUAGCAAAAUUUGCUAUCUUGAUUAAUUUGUUCAUUUAGAGCUUUACUCUUAACAAAUUUCCAUCUUAUCCAUUGUGAUAAUCUUUUUCAUCUUAUUCAUCUCGUAUCUCAGCAAAAUACGCUAUCUUGAUUGAUUUUUUGUUUAGAGCUUUGCUCUCAACAAAAUUUCAUUUUUUCCAUUUUGAUAAUCUUUUUCAAGCAUUUUUCAUUGAAAUAACGAUUAAUGGACUGACAAUACUCAUGCGGAAGGAGUUCUGCAUAUUACUCUGAAUGUUUCUAAAUAAUACGAGGACCUGAAACAGGACUAUUGUUUAGAACUGACCAAACCUCAGGGUUGAAAACAUUUGAGAAAGGAUAGUCUAAAUUGAGACUAUUUCUUUGAAUCUUCUGUCAAAGAUACUUGCUGAACGAGAAAGCAUCAGUGAUAGAACCUUGAUGAACAACGAGGAAUGACAACCCAAACAUUAAAAAGGGAUCAUUCUCAUGACAUUUUGCAUUCAUGCAAAUAUGUAUUCAUUCAAAUUUAGUUAGGAGCACUUGAUUCAUUCUAAUCAUGACGUCCUAAACACUAGACAUAAGUAGGUCCAUGAAAUGAAUUUUGCAGGUCAUGUUCCCCAGAGAACAGAUCAAAGAAACAGGUCCUAUAUCCCUAAAGUUGCAGUGGGAUAGAUUGAAGUCAUUAAAGCAGAUCUUAUCUUCAUGUAUUGGCGUGAAGUAGAUCGUAGAAAGCAGAUCUUGUCUUCAUGUAUUGGCGUGAAGUAGAUCGAAGAUAGCAGGUCCUGUCUUCCUAUAUUGGUAGGAAGCAGAUUGAAGAUUGCAGAUAUUGCCUUCCUGUAUUUGGCAGCGAAACAGAUCGUAGAUGGCAGAUUUUACCUCACUGACUACAGUGGAGUACAUUGAAGCCGAUAACUCUAUCUCCCUGGUUGGCAGUGGAAUAGAUUGAAGAUUGCAGAUCAUGCCUUCCUGUAUUUGGCAGCGAAGCAGAUCGAAGAUGGCAGAUUUUACCUCCCUGUGACUACAGUGGAGUACAUUGAAGCCGAUAACUCUAUCUCCCUGGUUGGCAGUGGAAUAGAUUGAAGAUUGCAGAUCUUGCCUUCCUGUAUUUGGCAGCGAAGCAGAUCGAAGAUGGCAGAUUUACCUCCACGUGACUACAGUGGAGUACAUUGAAGUCGAUAACUCUAUCUCCCUGUAUUUGGCAGUGGAAUAGAUUGAAGAUUGCAGAUCUUGCCUUCCUGUAUUUGGCAGCGAAGCAGAUCGAAGAUGGCAGAUUUUACCUCCCUGACUACAGUGGAGUACAUUGAAGCCGAUAACUCUAUCUCCCUGUAUUUGGCAGUAGAAUAGAGUGAAGAAAACCAGAUCUUAUCUCCCUAAGCAAUAGUUGAGCAGAUCGCGUCAAGUCUUAUCUCCCUAAGCAGUAGCGGAGCGAACAAAACCACAGAUCAUAUAUCCCUAAGCAAUAGUGGAGCAGAUCGCAUCAAGUCUUAUAUCCCUAAGCAGUAGCGGAGCAGACAAAACCACAGAUCUUAUCUCCCUAAGCAAUAGUGGAGCGGAUCGCAUCAAGUCUUAUCUCCCUAAGCAGUAGCGGAGCGGACAAAACCCCAGAUCUUAUCUCCCUAAGCAAUAGUGGAGCAGAUCGCAUCAAGUCUUAUCUCCCUAAGCAAUAGCGGAGCGGACAAAACCACAGAUCUUAUCUCUCUAAGCAAUAGUGGAGCAGAUCGCAUCAAGUCUUAUCUCCCUAAGAAGUAGCGGAGCGGACAAAACCACAGAUCUUAUCUCCCUAAGCAAUAGUGGAGCAGAUCGCAUCAAGUCUUAACUCCCUAAGCAGUAGCGGAACAGACAAAACCACAGAUCUUAUAUCCCUAAGCAGUAAUGGAGCAGAUCACAUCUAGUCUUAUCUCCUUAGGUAGUAGUGGAGCAGACGAAAGAAACCAAUCCUAUCUCCCUGAAGUUGCAGUGAAGUGGAUUAAAACCACAAAUCUCAUCCCCUGAAGUUAUAGCAGAAUAGAAUGAAGCUACUUGAAGAAGAGCGGCACCCAAGGAGUCAAGACUCGGUGAGACCGGGCAAAAUUGGUCUUUCUUAGUCUUUGCUCUAUUCUCGUUACACGAAAAUGAGCAAAGAGGGGCAGCUGUAAGACCCAAAUUUAGCCCGGGGCCCAAAACACUAAAGCCCAAUACCAGCAAAAAAAAGACACAGUCCAAAAUAAACAGUGGCCCAAAAUACCCAACAGGCCCAAAUUAAGAAACCUUAGCCCAAAAAUUAACCCCAUUCAGCAGUACCAAACCCUAGCCCCCAAGCCUCCAUGCGCCGCAUGCCUGCCCCUAGCCUCUGCCGCCGUCUGCCACGCCUCCAGCGCACGCCGGCCUACUCGCUCGCCUAUCGCCUCAUCCGCAUGCUCUGACACCUGCAGAAGAAAGCAUCACACGCAACAAAAAGAAGCAGAAAAAUAGAUCACAAAAAAACAAAAAAAAAUAGAUAUCAAAAGUGGUGUAAAUCGGCUAUAAAAGCCUGUAUCUGAUACUUGUAAUUUUUCUUUUUUUUACGAAUAUUUGAGAAAAUAGAAACAGAAAAAAUAUUCAAGGCUAUUUCUUUUUUUUUUAUUUCGAUCUCUCUGUUUCUUUUAUUUCUAUUAUUAUUGUUAUUAUUUUUUUAAAAACGAAUAAAAAGAAAAAGAGAAAGAAACAAACCAGAAUCGGCCUGUAGCCCCGCCGUCGGUGGUUUUUUCCCGGAGUUGGAAUCGGCAAAAAAGGAGGCAAAGGUCGAAUCUUUUUCAUUUUUUUUUACUUUUCAGGCAUUUGCCUUGUAGAUCUAAAACCUAGGCUUAAAACGGGCUAAAAAUAAAAAAUUUGAUUCUCCGGCCACCGUGUACGGCGACGCCAACGGCAGUGACCGACGGCCACGACGGUGGCCAAUGGCCGGAUAUUUGCCCAGAAGUGGGGAGGGGGUUGAGAGUUUGAGAGAAUCUCAACUUUUUAUUUUUUUGAGAAAGAAGGAAAAAUUAAAAAAAAUUAAAAAAAAUUGGGCUUUAUAGGAACAUUCAAACGACGUCGUUUUGAGCCAAAGUCACCAGUGGCAAAACGGCGUCGUUUUGCCUUAAGAACCGUGGCCCGACCCAGCAGCCCACAGGAUCCGCGUGUUUUUACGGUGAAUGGGCAUUUUGCGCAGUCGGUCCCCCAUGCUUUCAGCGCAUUUCGUUUCAGUCCCCUAGCAACCUGUUUUAUUUGUUUGCAAUUUAAACUCUGAUUUUUCGUCUGAUUUCAAUUCGGUCCAUGACCUGUUUUUAUUUUUUAUUUUUUAUUUUUAUCUCUUUUCAUUUUGUUAUUUUUUUAUUAUUUCUAUUUAUAUUUUUUAAAAAAAAAGAGAGAAGGCUUCAAUAAAGUUUUCAAUUACUGUUUGCUUACUCAUACUUUUCUUAAUUUUGAUUAAUUUCAUACUUUUAUUUGUUUUAUUUAUUAUCCCUUUUUAUGUAUACUUAUGAUUAUUUGUUUUGCUUUCGCUAUUAUUAUUGUCAUCUCACUAAUAUUAUAUUUUUUAAUUUUAAAAUGUUUCUAAAAUGUGGAUACAUUAGUUCACUUUUGCUGCUAUUCUUGCUAUUGUUAGGUUGUUAUUUGCAUUAUUAUUAUUAUUCAUGCACGUUAUACUAGAACUUUUAAAUAUUAAAACAUUUGUAUUUUACGAUGUAUAUUAGGCCUUUGUUUCAAAUGCAUGUUGUAUUAUUGUUAACAGUUAUGUACAAUUCCUUUUGCGUAUUAAAUGAUUUCUCUAAAAAACUAAUAAAUUAAAUGCAUUUUUUAAAAUGAUUUCUAAAAAACUAAAAAACUAUUCUUUUACUUAAAUUCGUAACAAAUCUCAAUAAAUAAGGCAAUAUUUUGUAUUUUAGAAAUUCGAGAAAUCGUGCCCUAACUUACUGAGCUUCGAUUUGUCUCGUUGUUUCUAAGUAAUUGAAUAUCCUUUUAAAAUUAAAAUAAAAAGUGAAAUGCAAACUUACUCUCAAAAUAUGAGAUGUUGGGUCCUAACUAACUGGGUGUGACAUCUUGCUACUUCGAGAUAAGAAAGCAUUUUUCCAUUUUGAUUUAUUCGAGUAAUUUUAAAAUAACACACGUAAAGAAGGAUCGUAUUUUUAAAUUCUUUAAAGUUCUCAAUUUUCGACACCAAGACAUUAAGUAAUCAACUAGGUACCAAUUUUGGGCGUAUCGAGGGUGCUAAUCCUUCCUCGUGCGAAAUCGACUCCCGGACCCAUUUUUUCUGAAUUUCGUAGACCAAAAUCGUUGUUUUAAUAAAAAUUAAAUCGUUUAUUAAAAACAACCACUUUUCGGUGACCCGAUCACACCUUAUCAAAAAAAAGAUUGGUGGCGACUCCCGAUUUUUUCGUUUUUAUUUUUAAAAUCCAAGUCGAUCCCGUUUUGUCAAAAAAAUGGUGUCAACAAUAACCAUUCAAUAUUAAGUUUAGCAUUAUAUUAUUUUGAAUUUGAAGAAAUGGCGACACAUACUAUCUUCCCUAAAAAUUCAACUAACUUCUCCCAUUGAAAUUUUAAACCUAAUGGGCCAUCAUCUUUUAAUAAUACCAUUAUUUUCACGUUUCCAAUUUUAUGUAGUCACGCUCGGACAACCUUUUUCUCCGUCCUAAAGCUAAAAUUGUACUUCCACAAGAAAACAAAAAAUUAUUUGUGGGGGAAAUAAAAAUAACGUUGGUGGGUCAAACUUCUAAAUUGUGGCUUUGCGGCUGUUCAUACCCAACGUCACAUUAAGUUACAAAAGGAAUAGUGUCAUCAAAAAUCCCAUAAGUAAAGUGGGUUAACAUUAUAUUUGUUUAAGGAAAUAAAAAUUGACAUGACUAAUCAAAAAAAAAUGAUUGAAUUUUAACAAUAAAAAACGAUGAAAUUUUUAACAGAAUAAUUAAUUUAUUAUUUAUCUAACGUAAAAGGAUUAAUUUAUUUAUUUUUAAAAUAAAUGAACAAAAUGCAACAUGAUUCUCGAUACAAAAGUCUCUACGAUACUUUUAACAAUGCAAACCAGGUCUAAAUAUUGUAUAAUAUUUAAAGCCUAAACAAAGGGUAGAAAUCAAUGUUGAUAAAAACAGAUGAAAUUAAGAGGAUUGAGCAAACACAAAAGGAGCAAACAUUGUUGAGCCUAUCUUACAAUGCCGUAGAUUACCUCAAAGUGAUUAUCGCUUGUGACCGGCAGCUUACCCAUGGUUCUCAUAGAUGCCAUGGAGCAUGAUUCUCUAUUUGCGUAACAUUGGAUUCUAUCAAUUAAAUUGGAUUUGUUAAUCGGAUAUAUAACCUACUCAAUAAAUCAAACAUUAAUUGUUGCUCGAAAAGAAUCUAUCAUCUACUACUUUUAACAUCGCUAGUAAUAAAAAUAAUCUUUUUCUCAUAUUUUCUUAUCAAAUUUUUUUUUUACAUUUAUAUUUGAUACAUAUUCGAGUAAUAAUAUAAUAGGAUAAUGAAUGGUAAAAUCAAAGAGAAGAUUCCCACGUUCUAGGCCAAACCAACGCCUAACAUAAAAGCAUAAAUCACAUGCAAAUGCAUUUGGUGAAUUGGCAUUUGCCAAGCAAUGCUAUUAUGCUAAUUAGGUAGAUGCGUGGUGGUCGGUAUAUAUAUAUAUAUAUAUAUUAAAAGAAUCUUCAAAAUUUUAGAAGUUAUUUCUUAAAUUUUUAUUUUAAAUCCAGGGCUAAUUGUUAGUAUUAUUAAAUUUGUUAAAAUUUAAGAAUUUAACAAUAUUAAGGGUCGAAUUGAAUUUUAAAAUAUAAAAAACAGAAAGAAUAAUUUCUAAAAAUAAAAUAAAUAGAUUAAAUUCUAAAUUUUCGAAAAUUGCAACAUUAACCAUAUAUAUUACAUGGUUUUGAACGUUUGGAAAUUGGAAUUGACACAAAUACCUAAUCUAAAUUAGUGUUUUUGGAGAUCUUUAUUUAAUUAUUAUUUUCGAGAUUGUUUGCUUAAAGUGUGAACAAGUUUUGCAUAAGGAACGCUGACUUGUCACUCAAAAGAUAGACAGUCUUAUUAAAAUACUUAAGUCAAAACUAAAUUAUGAAUUUUUAGAAAAUGAAAUUUAAUUUUAUUAUUAUAUUAAUUUGCAAUUUCAUUUUUUUAAAUAAAUCUAAAUACAAUAUUUGUUAUUUUCAGACCAAGGUCUUGUCUCCCAAUAAUGACGCAACUUUCGGAUUUCUUAUGAUUAAUUUAUUAUUUGGUAAAUUUUAUUAUAUAAAAUAUAAUUUUUAAACAUACGAAAUAUUUUAUAAAAAAUUGUGUACUUAUCUCUCGUUUAAAUACACAAUUUUAAAAAAAAUUAGAAUUACAAUCCGACAUACGAAUCCCUUUAUCUUUAUUCUCUACUCGAUCAGUGCUUGUGCAAUGACCUUGUCAUAGGUGUGUUGCCCUCGUAAGAUAUCCUUAUUCUUAUUGGGAUAAAUCUAUUUUCUCAAUAUGUUCCUAUUUUAUCUCAUGAUAACUAUUAUAUUUUACUUCAUGAUAAGUCAAUUACUACAAAAUUAAGUCAUCCAUCACAAAGACAAAUGACACGUGACCAUGUUUACUUUUCAUUUAUUAUGUAAUGUCGAUGAGAGGAUAUCAUUUACCUAUUCCUUAGGCUAUAAAUUUCACUAUUGGGAAUAAUGCUACAUACUACAAAAACUGUAUACCCAAUACACUAGCUUUCGAUUCCCAAUCUAUUUCAACUCAGGCUUUUACUUGUAUCAAAGUAUAAGAGUCACGUAUACAUAGUCCAUCAUCCAUUCAAGAUUAAGGUGUGACACACUAUGAAGAUCACAAGUGAAUAAAUUCAUAAAAGGAUUUAGGAUCUAUUCUACUUGGAUCUUGUCCGAUGUACUGUUAGUCCAAUUUGUCACAUCUAUGUCUCUAUCUUUUAGGUAUCAUCUGUUCUGAUCUUUAAGACAAAGCAUCUCCCCAAUUGGACUUGAUAGACGUUAUUUUUGUCUUUCAAUCAGUUUGCUCUUUUUUUACUAGACUAAUGACAUAUUCAGGUUCAUCUACUAAUACAAGUUGUAUUUUUGUAUUACGAUCCAACCACGUAAUACUCAUUUGUAUUAGUUAAUAUUAGAUAACCAGUGAACUAGUAUUUUCUUUCAUUUUGUUGUGUGUAAACACCAUUGAGGACAACAUACAAAAUGUAUUAAUGCAAUUAAUGAAUAAUUUUAUUAAACUAAUAUGUUCAAAAAAUACAAGUAUGCAAAUGAAUAUACUACACUUAGGGCAGCAGAUCCAACAGGCUUGUGCACCAAUUGCACGUUACUACCAUCUUUUACACUCGACUCCUUUUGCUUUUGACCAUUAUGAACCACGGCUUGCUCACUUGUUUUGGCAAUGGAACAUCUUCCCUAAGCAUGGCCAAAACACCCACAACCAUAACAAAUCAUUGGUAGCCUUUCACACUCAAUUUGUUGUAGCAAACCAUCAAUGCUAACAUAGGGUAUUAAUGGCUUUUUCAAACCAACAACCACCGCUACCCGAGCAAAUCAUCCCCUAUUUCUAAUCGUAUUAUUGUAAUAGACCUUUAUGACUACCCACAACUGUUGUGAUAACCCUCGUUAGUUAUUUCGUAUAACACUGAUAGAGCAACCCUAAAAACCGAAUCCAUGCCACAAUCUUCGAUGACAAAGUUUCCUUGAUGGUGAAAUCACGGCUUCAUGGUUGAACAACCAAGUAGUGGCCAUAUAUCAUCCAUGGCCUUCUUGACAACACCCAUUCAUAAUCCUCCAAACAUGCAAACUUAACUAAAAAAUAAUUAUUAUCAAGGUCAACAAAAGUCACCCACUAACUCCCACAUGAUUUUUAUCCUGUUGACUAGAGCCUUGUACCCAAUGGAUCGAGCAAGCAACCUUGCAAUGAUCGUUUGCUUCAUGCUUUAGUCUAUCAUCUUAUGUAUCCGUUUCAAGAUAAAGGCCUUCCAUGGACACAUAAACGUCACCCUUAAGGAGAGAAAUCUCAAUAUCAUCUAAACUAACAUCCUUCCCAUUAUUAACAUUGCUAUCCUUCAUUAGCAUCUCCUUAAAGGAGACCUUCCCCGGCUUGGCAACAUCUUCCAUCUAAUGAUCCGAUACCGUCUCUUCCAUGACAUCUUUAUUAUUGACUUUUUUUGUAGCCAUCUCAAACUCUGGUGGUAGCGACGAACUAGGCCUUUCGAGUUUGUUGAGCUGAACAAUGGGAACCACCAUUCUCAGCUCUUCUAAUUGCUUUUCUUUUAGCCUCCAGUAACUUGGUAAAUGCUAACUUUGUUACAACUUUGAUUUAUUUGAUUAUUUUUAAUAGUAUAGGGACUAAAUUGAUUAAUUUAAGAAUAGAAUGACUAAUUUGAAUUAGUCUUUAUAAUACAAAGACCUCUCAAACAAUUUAACCUAAUUAAUUUAUUAAAAAGUUUGAAGUCAAUUUUGUUGAAAGUUCAAACUUUCAUUUAGCUUUCAACACUAAAUUAAUUGACCAAAAAUAAAGUCAUACUGACCAAGUUAAACAUUAUUUUGCGUCCUUCUGGGUAGUUCAAGCAUUAAUUUUAAUUUCUUUUUUAAAAAUAUUUUCUAUUUAAUUAAAAACAUUAUAAUAUAAAAAAAUACAUCAUCAUGUAUUUAUUUUUCUAUUUAAAUAAAAACAUUAUAAUAUAAAAAAUACAACAUAAUCUAUUUCAUAUUUUUAUAAUCAACGAAAAAUAACACCAACAUGGUAUUGAAAUUAAUAAGAGUCCCUAUUAAAAAGAAUAUAAUUAAGAAAUAUUUUAAAAUAAAAUAAAAACUCGAAUUAAAUAUCACAAAUAACCAAAUGAUUCGAGAUAAAAUUUUUUUAUUUGAAUUAAUAUUUAUGUUUAAGAUUUUAUGUGGUCAAAGAAUGUUAUGUUGCCAUUAAUUUUAAAAUAUCCUAAUAACCUCGUCCAAACUCAUUGUCAAAUCUUUAAAUUGAACAAGAAAAUUAUAAUAUUAUUUAUUUAUAAAUAAAUAAGUUUUAAAAUAAAUAAAUUUUUGACAAUUAAAUUUCAAAGGCGAAACCCACAACAAAUUCCCAUUAAUUGCUCACCAUUAUUGACAGAUUGAUGAAAGUUAAUUCAGUUCAUACCACAGUUAAAAUAAAAUUAUAAUAAUUUAAUUUAUAACUUUCUACCAAAUAUCCCAUUUAAAUAUUUUUUUGAAUAUAUUUUAUAAUAUGCUAAAAUUUUUAUGAUUGAGACUUAAACAAAUGUUUUCAAUAAUGUAUAUUUUCAUAAAUUUAAUUUUUAAAAAUUUAUUCUCUGUAUUUUUAAGGUUUCAAAAUUCAGGGCCUAUUAAUAUUAUGAUUUUUUUAUUAAAUUCAUAUUUAUUAUAAUGUCAUUUUUUAGUUACAUUGUAUUAAAUAAAUACUUUUUUAAUUUCAAAAUGUCAACACCAACUAAUUUAACAAAAAAAAGUGUAGAUGUGAGGUGCAUUUUUUUACUUACAUGUGCAUCAUGCUUUUUUUAUGACUAUAUGUAUAUAUAUAUUAUUUUUUAAUAUUUGAAUGUUUAAUAAAAUUUAAAUUAUUGUGGAUGUGGCGUAUAUAAUAAAUGAUGCCAUUUUAGUAUGAAGUGCACGUAAACUGCUGUAUAGGUUGUCACACUAACAUUGUUAAAAGUUUAAAGUUUUAGUAAGCAUUUACGUUAAAAAAAUAAAUUGAUUCUUUUUAAAAGUUUUAGGUCCAAUUUAGCUCAAAAAAGAAUAAGGAUUAAAUUGAUAAAAAUAUAAACAUUGAGUGUUAAAUUUAUCAAUAAACCUAUAAUAAUACAAAUGUAGUAUUAUAAUGUUGAAAAAGUAAAGUAAAAAACGAGUAUGGACCUCUUUAAAAAAUUUUCAAAAUUAAAAUAAGUUUAAAAAAAAAGUCAGUAAACGUGAAAAACGAGGAAACGCGGCGACGAAAAUGAAAAAUAAAUUUCGUCGCUAUAUAAAUAAGAGAAAUGCCUCUCAGUUUACAUAUAGACAAAGAAAGCGGAGCAUGUGCCAGCGUCUUCACCAACAGAGCAUCAGCACCAGGCGGCAACUAAAUGCUCUUCCCAACCUACCCAUUUUACCAACCAGAAGCCAUUUUCGAUUAAAAUAACGAAAUAAAAGCCUAUUUUUAAUCGACUUUUUAUCCAUUUUUGCCCAUUUAAGAUCCAACAUUUGGCAUUUAUUCCAGACUUUAUCUAAAUUUUAGAAGCCCUUUUUCUGCUAGAAAAAUUAUUAAUAAUGGUAGAAAAAUAGAUAAAACGUUUUAUUAAGGUUUUUAAGAAAAAAAUCUUUUUUUUCUUCUUCUGAUAUUCUGGGAAUCCUUAUCCAUAAUCUAUUCAGCACUUAUCGUCUUUGUUUAUCUUUUCUUUUUAUUCGAGGUCGUUUCUUCUUCUCUUUUUAUUUACCCCAGCUCCUUCUCCUUUUUCUUCUUUUAAUCCCCUUUCCAGAUUAAAAAAAGUUUGGGUGUUUGUUUUUUUGGUCUGGGUUUAGAGUUUUUUAUUAUUAUUAUAGAAAAACAAACCCUUGAGGAAUCGCUGUGUCUGAAGCUAACUCUUUGGAUUUCAUCGAAGGGGGGUUGUUCUAAAGGAUGGUUUUGGUGUCGGUUUUUUUGGAGAUUUUAAGGAAACCCACAAUUGGAGAUGUUUUGAAGGAGCUAAUGAUUUUCAUAGCUCCUUUAUGGAUUGCUGUAAUUGUUGGUGUUUUAGUCGGAUGGGCUUGGAAGCCAAAGUGGGCAAAUAUAGGCAGAGAAAUGAUGAUUGAUUGCUCAGUCUCUAAAGAUUCAACACCUUCAUCUUCAGAUUCUUCAUCUACAAGUUUCAAUCUCAUUUCAAGCUUGAAUUCGAUCAAAUUUUUAUUGCCUAGUUGCAUCUCUUGGAUUACAGAUGAUGAAGCUCAAAGCGAUCCUUUUUCUUUGCCACCCACCGUUGAUUCCAAUUGCAGGUUCGCAAUUUCAUCAUUUGAUUUCUCCUUUUAAUGUUAGUUUGGGGUUUGAAGUGCAAUGAAAAUUGGAUUUAUCUUUGAUUUUGCUAAUCCCUAAUAUUUUCUUGUAAUUUGGGUACAGUUCAUCACAGAUUCCAAAGGGGAAAACUAGUUUUGUGACAAAUGAGGAUUUAGAGCAUUUUGUUAAUUUAGUUGAAGAAAAAGAUGGAGGACCUGCUUGGAUUCAUAUGAUGGAUUGUUCUACUCCAACUAUGUUUUAUCAAGCUUGGCAAAGAGAUCUUGAGGUAUAUAUAUAUAUUCAAUUUAUGUCCUCUUAUAAUUUCAUUUGGUUGAUUAUUGAAUUAUGUUUAUGUCUUGGCUGUUCAAUCAGGCUGGUCCUACGGAAUAUCGUAGCCGAACCGUUUUCGAAGAUACCACUCCCGAGAUGGUGAGGGAUUUCUUUUGGGACGAUGAGUUUCGACCCAAGUGGGAUAACAUGCUUGUUAGUGCUGCAACUAUGGAGGAGUGUCCCACCACUGGGACCAUGGUGGUUCAUUGGGUUCGCAAGGUUUGUAGAACUUUUCUUUUUCGGUUCAUUUUCGUUGUAUCGGAGUAUUAUGUUCUAAUAUGUCUUGUAUUUUGCAGUUUCCUUUCUUCUGCAGUGAUAGAGAAUACGUGUUCGGUCGUCGGAUUUGGGAGUCCGGGCGUGCAUAUUAUUGUGUUACUAAGGUAAUUUUCAGCUUUGGUAUGUUUACUGUUUCGUAGGCUUUUGAGUUGCAGUAAUCCGAUAACUACUUGAGUGAAUGGACAUUCUUUUACGAAUUCGAUAUCUCAAGAUGGUUAUCAGAUAGUAGUAGGCAUCAUCAUGUUAACCAACUCUCUACUCAUAGCAUGUUUACUUCACAUUUCAGGGAGUACCAUAUGGUUCUGUACCGAGGAAAAACAAACCCAGGCGUGUCGAUUUAUACUAUUCGAGUUGGUUAAUCCGUGCAGGUAUUGGACUCGACAUCAUUUUUUCCCUGCCUGCUAUGUCCAUUUAAGUACCGAAUACAUAUACCAUAAUAUAAAUUCUUGGCCCGUAAUCUGUUUGUUAUUCGUUUCAAACAGUUGAAUCAAGGAAAGGAGACGGUCAGCUAACUGCAUGCGAGGUGUUACUUUUCCAUCACGAAGAUAUGGGUAUACCAUGGAAAAUUGCAAAGGUUGGAGUCCGGCAAGGCAUGUGGGGAACCGUCAAGAAGAUCGACCCCGGCCUACGUGCAUAUCAAAAGGAAAGAACAUCCGGAAAUACGCUAUCCCAUUGCGCUUUCAUGGCUCAGAUAAACAGUAAAAUAAGUGCAGACUAUCUGAGAUCCUUUGAAAGCAAAAGUAACGAUUCAUCAGAGCUCGAAACACAUAAUUCAUCUGAGAAACCGUCAGGGAAAAACAUUCCCAAACUUUUAGUCGUUGGUGGGGCUAUCGCCCUUGCUUGUAGUUUUGAUCGAGGCCUCUUGACCAAAGCUGUUAUAUUUGGAGUAGCUCGAAGGUUUGCAAACAUCGGAAAGAGAUUGUAACUCGGGUAUAUUUACUGUCGUGAUUCCGAGAAUGCCAGCGGAGCUAAUUGCUGCUGCAAAUGAAAGUGAGAGAUGUUACCACCAAGGGCCGAAAUCUUUUUGCUUGCCUGCUUUUUUUAAAGGAUCAAAGAUCGUAAACUCUUUUUGAACUUCCGGGCUGCGAAGUUUGGAACCGGGGAAAUAAAGAUCAGAUAGUUGGAUUAUAAAAGCCUCUGUUCAAUUGCUAAUCCAUCUUAAAUUUAUUUAUUUUUCUUGCUUGAUUGUAGUCCUCAUAAAUAUUUUCUGGAAAAAGCAUGGAAUACAAAGGUGAAUUGCUGCUUGAUAAUGAGCUUUGCAUACCUGUUCAUACAACUUAAGAGGAAGCUAUUAUUUAAUUUAGUCCUGAGCCAAUAAGGUUAAAUUGAAAUAUAAUUAUCAUUUACUGUACGGAUUUAAUAUUUUUAAAAAUUUUAUGGUCUUAUAAAUUGAAUUUUUUUUGGUUUGAAAUUUAAUUGCAAUUAAUAAAAUAUUUUCUAUUGAUUUUUAAUAGAAACUGGCCUGCUUGUAUACACGUGGCAUUGUCCUACUGGCUAAACGAAAAUUAAUAUCUCGUUAAUUAAGAGGUAGAUCCAGAAAAUAUAAAAAAGGUCCAGACACAAGGGAAGAAAAAAUCAAUUUGGCGAAAGCGAGGGAGAAAAAGGGGAAAGCAGGUCGUCCUUGUUUUUCAUCGGAGCUUCGAAAGUAUACACACUCAGUUCCCUGAUUUGGAUUGUGGAAAUAGAAAGGAAUCGGGAACAUGAAUUGAUCUGGACCGCUUCUAGCGACUGUGCUCGCUGCUUCCAUGGUGGCUUUCUUAUCAUCUUCUUCCCCCGAAUUCCACAAUGUUUCUUUCUUUUCAACCUCCUCUGAUCAGGUUUUCCUUUAAAUCUCCCCUUUCAAAACUUUAAACUUCCUUAUUGUAUUUUCUGUUGUCGCAAUGUCCAGUGAUUGAUUUCGAAAUAGAAUCUAGAUUUGCUUGACCUUUCCAAUUUCCCUCUCUUUAUUUGCAGCUUGAGUCUUUAAUUAGUUUUUAAAUUAUCCUACCAUUUCUCUACUCUCUUUUCUCGAUUUUUCUGUUGAUUUCUCUUUUUGCAGUAUUAACUAUGUCUUGAAUUUGUUGAAAAAUUUCGCUAUGGAUUUGAAAUAUAUAUUAUUAUUUUUGUUGUUAUUUGUACUUGAGAUUGAAUUGAUUAUUUAGCGACCAAAAAAUGGCGCCAUAUAAAUUAGCUAACUCUGAUAGCAAAAGUUGAAAAAAGUUGCAGGAAAAAAAUUAAGAAUAGAGAUGAUAGCAAGUAUGCUAUGUCAAAACGAAGCCUUCCAUGGCCAUAAACGGACACUGCCUUUUAGCUACCAAAUCUCUACUCAAAAUACUUACUGAGUCUUUUAUUUAAUAUCAUUUGAUCUAAGGUUAAUUUCUGAUGUGUAGGAUCAAUAAAUGAGUACAAAAGCAAGGAUGUUUUCCAGGAGCCAGAAAGACUACCUCAAAAGUUGUACAGCCACCAGUACCAGCUGUAUGCAUGUUCCAGUCUACUACAUCAUUUGACAAGGAUUUUUCUCAUCUUGAAGAAUUUUCCACUCAGGGAUAUACUCAUGUUCCUAAAAUCCCGACAAAAAUGCAAGCUAACCAAGAAGGGAGGACAACCAAAAUUACUGCUGCAGAAGCAACUAUCAACUGGCAGAUAGAGAAUGCUUUAGCCCAAAACUCGAUUCUCAAAAGCAUCAAUUCAAAAGUUGAUCAGAAUGACUCUAAAGUUUCUAGAGUUGAAGCUAAAGCUAAUUAGAAUUCAAAAAUGAUAAAUGAUUGUAAUAACAGAUUUUGCCCGGGCUUAAAAGGGCCCAAAUUACAAUGGGCCUAUGUAGCCCAAAACCUAAAAUAAGCAGAGGCCCUAAACAAUGGCCCAACACAAUAUCAGAAACCUUAGGGGUUCUGUGAUGAGUCUCGCGACGCAGCCACCUAGCCUCGCCCUCCGAAUCUCAGCCUCCGAAUCUUCAUCUGUGCACAAAAAAGGAAAUAAACAGUAUAUGGAAAACAAGAUCGAAGAUUUGCAAAUCAAAUCAAUAUAAGUAGAUUAGUUUCUUUAUAUAUUUUGAGAAUGGCUAUAAAAAGCCAUUAAACAUACUGUAAUAGUGGUCGAAAAAUUAAAUAAAAACGGAGGCUUUUACUUUCGCAAUACAGAGAUCAUAGUCUAUUAAAGGUUGAUACUUGUAUUUCUAUUUUAUUUUAUUUCAUUAUGUCUAUUUAUUUUUAUCAUUUAUAUAAAUAAUAUAAAUACAAAAGGAAGGAAAUAACCUGUAUUCGAGUCCUAACCGCCGCGGAUGGCCGAGGAAGUCGUCACCGAGGAUUGACGGCCGAAAACCGAAAGGUUUUCUCGAGAUUUGGGCCCUCUCCAUCAAUAUUUUGGCAAUUUCGGGGUUAGAUUCGAGUUUAAAGGCUUUAGAAGGGUCAGAUCUAAAAUUUUCAGCUCUUCGACCACCGCAUAUGGCGGCGGCGCCACCGGUGGCCGGUGCGGUGGCCGAUGACCGGGCGACGCCGGACUUAGGCCGGAUGACUGAAGAGGGGGGAGAGUUUCUUAAAAAGUUUUUUUUUUUUUUGAAAAAGAAUGGGAAAUGAAAUUUUUUUGGUUUAAAUUUGGCUUAAAUAAGCCCAUCAAAACGGCGCCGUUUUGAAGGAGGUGGGAUCCGCGCAUCGACCCGAUCCGGACCCAAGAUCCGCGCGUUUUGAUGCGGAGGGGAAAAUUGCGUUUUUAGCCCCUUCGCCUUUUAAUACUUUUACAAUUAAGUUUUUUUAAAAAAAAAUUCGCCUUUAAUUUGUAUUUAAUUUCAAUUUAGUCCUCUUCGAACAGCGCCGUUUUAGAGGAGAGGGGAAAUUUCCCUUCUAGCCCAUCUAUGUAAUUCGCGUGUUCAAAUUAGUCCUUUGGGUUUCAUUUAUUUGUGGAUUUGCCCCAAAAUUUUUCAAUUACUGUUCAAUUUAGUUUUUUUAAUAUUUUCCUAAUUAAUUUUAAUAAUGUAAUUGUUAUUUUUUUAUUUUUGUAAUUAUUUUUCAAAAUAUAUUUAUUUAUUUUUUAUGCGCAUUUAUAUUUUUAAACUAAUGUUUUUUUCAUGUAUACAUAUUUUUUUGAAUUUUGAUAAUGUUGACAUUAUUAAUAUAUUUUAUGUUUUCAUAAAUACAUUAUAAAUUUUAUAAAUCAAAGUUUUACAUGAAAAUUCAUUUGUAUGCCUCUAAUUCUUCAUGAUUUCAUUUAUUUUACUUAUUUUGCUCAUUUAUUUGAUAUUUUACAUGUCAUUCGUUAUUUUUCCUUUUGUCUUAAUUUAGUUUGUUUAAACUUCAUGUUAUUACCUCAUUGUUAUAAUUAUUGUUGUAUUUGUUAUUGGGACAUUUAUACAUGCAUUCAACCUAAUAUCACAUCAUUUUUUUUACUCGAUUUCAAACUUUUCAAAAUUGAGCGAAUGCUUGUAUUUAGGAUUUUCAAGGAAAUUGAGCCCUAACGUAUUGGGUUCCGAUUUUCUUCGUUAAAUCUAACAAUCGUGCAUUUCUCUUUAAUCAAAAAAAAAUAAGAAAUCAUUAUUGGGAAUUCAACACGUUGUGUCCUAACGCAUUGGAUGUGACGCAUUGAUUUCUUGAAAUGAAGACUUUGAAGGAAUUGUGCCCUAACGUAUUGGGCCGCAAUUUCUGAAAUCUUGAAUAAAUGGAUAUUCUUUUAAAUUUUUAUUGCAUGUAUUCUGGCCUAAUUCAUUUUUAGGGAAAUUAGAAUGUUGUGCCCUAACGCAUUGGGUGUGACAUUUUCCUUCUCUGAAAUGAUAAGGGUCUUAAUACGUAACGUUUUUUAAAGUUUUUUUGCUAAGGAUUAUAUAUUUUCAAACUCUCGACUUCAAGACAUUAAUUAAUCAAUUUGGUACCAAUUUUGGGCGUUACGAGGGUGCUAAUCCUUCUUCGUACGUAAUUUACUUCCGAACCCAUUUUUUAAAACUCAUAGACCAAAGCCGUUUUUUAGGUGAUCCAAUCACACCUUAAUAAAAGAUUAGUGGCGACUCCCAAUUUUUCAUCGACAACUAAUUUUUGUUUUUUCCAAAAAUAAAAAUGGUUUCGACAAUGAUCUUAUCGGGUUAAUGCAGAAUAGUUUGAAAGGACUAGCCAGAGAGCCAGCAGCACCAGGACAAUAUUUCUUCUCUCAUCUUGCUCAAAGAGAGAAAGAAAUCCAAAAUCUCAAGGAGCAGAUCAAGAUGCUAAAAGAAAUAGGACAAAUUCCACCUCCUAAACCGUCUAGGAAUGGAAUGGAAUUGAAUUGAAUUGUUCCUUUCAAUAAGGCAGAUAGACGCUCUACCACCUCCAACAGAAUUGAGAUUAACUUUUCCGCCACCAAAUAAAAAGAAGAAACCUAACACAUUUUAUUUGUUUUUACAAAUCAAAGCUCAAAAGAAAACGAAAAAAGAGGAGCAAAAAAAAAAAAAGAAGAAACAAGAGGAAGCGAAGAGCAAAAAGAAGAUAAAUCCUUGGGGAAACGCCUAUAAAUGAAGAAUAAUAGGAUUUUCCUACACCAAAGCAAGUGUCUAAGUCCCUGAUAAUUAGGAGAAUAAAUAUCAUUCAAAUCCUUUGUCAACAUUCUUAAAGGAUUAUAACCAGCAAAUACUUCCCAAAAUAACUGCUUUAUAAGAAGCCACAGAGGAAUCCAACUCCUCUGAAGAAUCCAGUGAAGAUGUCUCAGAAUCUUCUGAUGAUAUCUCAGAAAGAGAAAAAAGUCAAGUGAUAGCAACCACCCAACCAGAAGUUACAGUGGAAAUGUCAGAUGAAGAAAUGGGAAAUAUCGAUGAAACAUCAUAUGUUAGACCUCCAAAAUCUAUCUCAAGAGGAAAAACAACUUUCACCCUCGAUAAUAUUCCAACUUCCAAAUGGCCAGGAAGACUUCAGAAGUUUCACUCAUGGCUUGACACCAGAAAAUUGACAGAAGAAAGUCAUUACAGUAUCCUGUUAGAAUUUGUUUCCAGAUUUACAGGAAUGUUAAGAGAUUUGUGGAAUUCGAUCAGUCAAGUAGAUCAGAUACAAUUUUUGGUCUUAACAGAUUUAUCCCAAGCCAUUAGGAUUAUCCAUAAUCAUUUUAUUGGAAAUCUUGAAGAUCUCUUAACCUUGAAAAGAAGAAAAUUCUUCAAACGAAAAUGUUACUCUUACAAUAAAAAAGACUUAUCCAGGCAUUUUCAUGCUAUGACCAAACUUUUUUGUUCACUCGGUCUAGAGCAAAGUCUUAAACUUGCAGUUCUCGUAUCCAUACUAGAGCCUCUUCAAGUUGCUAUCAAUCAAAGUCUCCACAGGCAAAAUAGAAACAUCGUCAACCUGACAAUUGGAGAAAUCCAACAAGAAAUUUAUGUUUCUCUUGAAAACUUAUGCAAUAGAAAAAAGUUUUCAAAGACUAUCUCCAUGGUGAAAAACGGUUGGACAAAGCCUGUGAUGAUUCUUACCUAUGAAUGAAGUGUGGACAUGAAAAAUAUUGCUAUUGCAGGACAAAGAAGAAAAAAAGUUUCAGGAAAUUAAAAAACCCUAGUCUUCCAAGAUCCUUCAGAAGGAAAACAAAUUGGAGAUAUUUGAAGAAAAAAAGAUCUCCAAAGGGGAACCAAAUCAAAUAGGUGUUACAUUUUUAAUCAAAAGGAUCAUUUUGCAAAAAAAUUGCCCAAAUAACAAAAAGGGGUUUAAAAUAAUCCAACAAAUCCAGCAAGAAUCAGGAAUUAGGAUCAGAGAAGGAGAUGACCUCGAAUCAUUCAUUUCCAUUGAUGAUGAAACAACAGAACAACCACUAUUCAAGGAAUGGCCUUAGAGUCAUAUUUGUCGUCAAAUCUAUAUGAUUAAAGCCCAAAAAGCCCAAAUCCUCUCUACUACCACAAAAGUUUCUGUUAUUCAUAUUCCAGUUUCAAUCUAUUUGGAUAAAUACAGUAAGCCCAUAACUCUUAUCGCCUUUAUAGAUACUGGAGCAGUUGAGACUAUCAUGAAUCCAAAGAUACUGCCCAUAGAAUUCUAGAGGCCGCAGGUCUGUUAUUUCAAUUCAGCAGCAGAUCAAGUCUUUGCGACCCACUGGAUUAGUAAGCCCAUUAACAUCCAAUUUUUCUCAGGAUGUUUUGUAAAUACUACAGUAUUGGGAUCUGACCUCCCUAGAAAAGACCUUGUGGUUGGAUUUGACUUAUACACUAAGGCCCGACAUAUGAGGAUACUGCCAGAUGGAGUCUGUUACAAAAAAUGUUCAAACCUUUUGUCCGGAUUCCCAGAUUAUUUAUGAUUCAUAAAGGAAAGAUUCAGAAGAUAAUUGAAGAAUUAAAGAGCAAAGCAUGUGCUGAUUCACAUUCAGAAGUUAGCUGAAGAAGAAUGUCGACAGCUACAGCAACAAGGGUUGAUAGAAGGUUUAAAUUUUCAAUGGGCUUGUGAAGCCUUUUAUGUCAAUAAAAGAGCUGAAGAAGCUAGGGAAAAUUGAGGUUGUUUAUCAAUUACCAGCUUUUAAACCAUUUUCUCCAAGAUGAUAAAUUUCAUUUGCCAAAUUGGAAUUCAUUAUUCUCAAGUCUUGCCCAAGCAAAGGUUUUCUCUAAGUUUGACUUGAAGGCAGAAUUUUGGCAAUUAGAAAUUAACUCAGAAGACAGGCCUAAGACAAGAUUUUGUAUCCCAAAUAAGUAUUUCCAAUGGACAGUAAUGCCCUUUGGGCUCAAGACUACUCUAUCAUUAUUUCAGAAGGCUAUGAUAAAGAUUUUCUAGCCCAUUAUGGACCAUGCUUAGGUCUAUAUUGAUGAUAUACUUUUUUAUAGUACAAACCAAAAAGCUCAUGCAGAACUAUUAUAAUAAUUCAAAUAGUUCACACUGAAAUAUGGGAUUAUGUUGAUGAAAGAAAAAUGCAGAUCAAUAAAGAUUUAAUUGAGUUCCUAGGCAUGCAGCUCAAAGAUGGAAAGUACCAGCCAGACAAGCAUAUUGCAUAAGUAUUGCUCUAAUUUCCAGAAAGUAAUUUAUCAAAAAAACAAGUUUAACAAUUCUUAGGAAUUCUUAAAAAUCUCUCUUUAAAUUUACAAAUCCUUUGAGAAUGAUGUUAAAGAAAGACCCUCCUCCAUAGAGUACAGCUCAAACCAAGUAAAAAUACUUAAAGAAUAACUUUAGCAACUGCCACCAUUACAUAUUCCAUCAGAAGGAAAAAGAAUUCUCAAGACAGAUGCCAGUGACAAAUAUUUGGGGGGCCAUACUCAUUGAAGAAAAAGAAGGAAAAAUAUACUUUUACGGAUAUAAGAGUGGAAGGUUCUCUAAUGCAGAAAUGCAUUACCAUUCAACCUUCAAAGAAGUCCUUGCAGUAAAAAAAAGUAUUUCAAAGUUUGAUUUUCAUCUCAUAGGAUAUCAUUUCCUUAUAGAGAUGGACAUGUCUUCCUUCCCAAAAAUACUAAUGUUCAAACAAAAGGAUGGCCCUCAUCCUCAGCUGUUAAGAUGGUCAGAAUGGUUUUUUAAAUACUCAUUUGAUGUUAAACACAUUAGGGGAAAAAUCAAUGUUUUAGCUAACUUCUUAACCAAACCACCUGAAAAAAUCUUAGUGAUAGCACAUUCAUCCUCAUCUUCUCAAACGAAAAAAGCCAUCUUAUCAAACCCCCCACUUCCUUUCAGUACUCAAUAUGUGCCACCUAAUUCACAUCCUGAACACUCACUUGAAGUAUUGAGUCUAAUCCUUGAAAAAAGAUUUCACAAAGAAGCUCUGAACAUGAUGUUUUCUCAUCAACUUGAUGUUUUCAAAAACUGUGGGGGGUUAUACCUAAAACCUUUAGGACUACAUUUAGAAUAUCCAUUUAUUCAUCCGAUUAAACUUCAAUUUACCGAAUUCCCUGAUGAAUUAAAAUGGAUGUUAUGGUAUCUUACCCACUUAUAUCACAUUGGGAUACAGUUUGAUAUAUUGGAUCUCCAAUAUUUUCUAACUGUUGCUUAUCAAGGACAAGAGAACCCAGAACUCCACAAUUGGGCUACCUUUCUUAAAUGGUUUUAUCUUUUAAAUCAGUGGUUGGAUAUGAUUACCUUGACACUUGAACAACCCAAAAGAACACCUCAUUCAAGUGUAGUAAUUAUUUUUUAUGAACCACAAUAUUUUAUGCAACAUGGUGCAUCAACCCAAUUAGGAGCAUUUCCAACGGCUUGGAUUCACAAGACAUACAGCUCAGAGGUUGAUACAAAUCCUUAUAACUAGGACUGUGCAUAAUUCGGUUAACCCGAUUUUUUUUGGUUAACCGGCCGAGUUCGGUUAAUCGGUCGGUUAAUCGAAAAAAUUCGGUCGGGGGUCGGUUAAUUUUUUUGAUUUUUUCGGUUAAUGGUUAAAUCGGUUCGAAACCGGUCGGUUAACUGAAAAAAAUCAGGUAAACCAAAUUUUGCAGUGUAGGGCCUAAAAUAGGUCAAAUUAAACUCGGCCCAAUUUUUUCUCAAGCUCAACACCGAACUUUUUGGGUAAUUUUCGGGUAAUUUUCGGGUAAUUCGGUUAAUCGGGUAAUUCGGGUAAUUUUUAACCAAAAAUAAAAAACACAUAAUUUUCGGUUAAUUCGGUUAAUCGACCUUAUUAACCGAAAAAAAUUCGAUUCGGUUAAUUUUUUUUAAAAAAAAUUCGGUUCGAUCAACGGUUAAAAAUUUUAGAAGGUCGAUUAAUUCGGUUAUAACAAUUUCGGGUCGAUUAACCGAAUGAACACCCCUACUUAUAACUACAAAGCACUGCAAAAAUAUCUCUGCCAACUUAACAGAACCAUUCCCACAAAGAUAUGACCACCAGGAGAUGUACUAGCACAUUGGGACUUUAAUACAGAGCUACCGACACCCUAUCAAAUAGAGUUAAAAAAGGCACUCAAAGAAUAUUAAAAAAAUAUUCCAGAUCUAAAAAAGUGGUUACAAGAUUACCUAUGGUUUUGUAGCAAUGCAUGGAAAGACACACCAACCUGGGAUAAGGACAAAUCAACACUAAUGGACCUUGACAGCUCACCAAAUGAUAGCAAAUGAGUAGAAAAACUCUACAAGGCAAAGCUAGAAAAAGAAAUAAGGAUUGAAGAGUAAAACCUCACAUCAGAUGUCAGAAUACAGUGAUUAAAAGUGGAUUUCGUCUGGUCAUUAUUAAAAGUUUGUAUCAUUUUACUUUAUCUUUUAUAAAAAGGUUGUAAAAGGAUAUUCCUCCUUAUCUCCAUAGUAGUUAGAAAGUUGAUUUCUCUCUUAUCAGUUGUAGAAAAAUCUUAUCCAAGUUUUCCUAUAAAAGAGAGAAAUAUACUUAGUUGUAGGUAGAUCGAAAUCUAUCGAUAAAAAUUUCAGAGUAUUUUCCUAAGACUCAUAUCUCACUGAAACUCUUUCCUUCUUUCUUUUCUGAGCAAAGCCUUAAGGCAAUUUGAGAAUGAAUCUCUCAUGAGUUUAUGAGUAUGCUCUGUGCUUGUCAAACUACGGAUCCUGCACAUCAGAAAUUAAGCUUAGAUAAAAUGAUAUUAAAUGUUAAAAGACUCAGGAAGUAUUUUGAGUAGAGAUUUGGUAGCUAAGAGGCAGUGCCCGUUUAUGGCCCUGGAAUACCUCGUUUUGGCAUAGCAUACUUGCUAUCAUCUCUAUUAUUAAUCCUCUUCCUGCAGCUCUUUUCAACUUUUUGAGCUGUACUCCAUGGAGGAGGGUCUUUCUUUAACAGCUUUCUUAAAGGAUUUGUAAAUUUAGAUAUUUUUGAAAUAAAAUCUAGGAUAAUUUCUUCCUUCUACUUAAAAUAUUAACGUAAGCAAACAGUUUAUACAUUAGUCCCUUAUGUUUAAAAUAGUACGUUUUAGUCACUUACAUUAACAUGUUAUAACAUUUUAGUCAUUGAACCAUUAAUUGUUCUUAAUAGUGUAACGGUAAGCUGACGUAGCAUGUUAAAUCAUCAUUUCAAACAAAAAUUUUAGGUUAUAUUAUACAAUUGGUUCCUAUAUUUUUUCGUUUUGAGCAAUUUAAUUUUUUCCUUUUAUGUUCUUUUAACUUUAUUUUUUCAUUCUCUUUUGCUUCUCCCUCUAUUUUCCUCCAUUCUCCAUCUUUUUUCCUUCUAUGUGUUACAUUUGUUAAAACUAAAGGGAAAGAAGAAAAAAAAUAAAAAAAAUAAAAUUGUUCAAAAAAAUAAAAGUACAAGGACUAGUUUUAACAAAUAGAAAACAUAAAAAAAAUUACGUUAAAAGAUAUGAAGGGAGGAAAACAAAGGGAGAAACAAAAAAUGUAAUCACUGAAUAUUGUCCGACAUGAAUUUGCAUUUUUUUUAAAAUUACAUUUCGGCCCCUAAGUUUUUUGAAAUUGCAUCUUAACCCCUAAAGUUUCUUGAAAUUAUGUUUUGACCCCUAAAAUUCCUAAAAUUAUAUUUUAAUCCUUAAAUUUUCUCAAAAUUACACUUUGACCCCAGAAGUUUUGCUGCAUUUGCAAUAUGGUCCUUCUGGCAGCAACUUGCACAUCUACCCCCGUGAUUUCCGGCCACCCGCCUAAGGCAUGGCCUCCCUCCCCCUAGCCACCUAAUCCCUGCAAAAAAGAAGCAACAAAUCAGCUAUAAAAAGGGGUUUAAACCCCAAAAUCAAGGGGGGAUGACAAAAAAAUCUCAAAAAAAAGAGAGAAAAAAAGCUUUGAUAAUAAGAGAAAAGGAGAGAGAAAGGAGAGUAAGAGAAGGGAAGCGUCGGGAGCACAUCACCGGGCAGCAGCAACGGCGUCGACGGCAGCGAAGGAGGCUAGAUCCGAGAGAAGAAGAGGAAAAAAAGAAGAAAAAAAGAGAAAAAAAAAAGAAGGAAGAAGAAAAAGAAAAAAAAAAGAAAAAGAAAAAUAAAUUUUUAAUAGUCGGGUCGACCCGACCCGACCCGGCCCGACUGACCAACCCGACCCGAGCAGCUUAGCAGCCCACCAGCAGCCCCCAGGCCGAAAAAAAGAAAAAAAAAACAAACAAAAAAAAAGGAAGGAAAGCAGGAAAAUAAACCAACAGGCCCAACAGCCUAGCAGGCCAACAGCCCAACAGCUUGGCAGGCCAGCAGGCCCAUUACAGCAGCAGGCCUACAGAUUUGGCCCAACAAACAGCAGCCCCAGGCCCAACAGCAGUCAGGCCAGCCCACCCAGCCCAGUCUAGGAAAAAAAGAGAAAAAAGAGAAAAAAGAAAAGGAAAAAAAGAAAAAAGAAGUCCGAAUUAUGUAACCCGGUCAAUAAAGCUCGUAUUUUCGGGCUUUUCGGUAAUUUUUUUUACGCACUUUUAAUUUAAUUUACACAUUUUUAUGACAUUUCAUAUUUAAUAUUCUUGUUUUGUUUUUAAGCAUUUUUUUUAUUUUGUAUUAGGUUUUUUAAAGCAUUUUUUUAUAGUCGUAUUUAAUUUUAUUUAAUUUCAUUAAUUUUAAUUUUCACAAAUAAGGCGACGAACCAAUUUAACAUUAAGCCGUAUAUUUUCAUCGCUAUGUUGGGUGAAUAUAUUUGGCUCGUGUUAAAUUAGGGACGCCCUUUUAAAAAAUUGAAAAACUUAAAAAUUCUCAUGUUUUAAAUUUUUUUUUCGUGUUUUCAAAAAAAUUAAUAAUUGUUUCAAAAAUCUUUGUGUUUAAAAAAAUAAAAAUUCUCGUGUUUCAAAAAUUUUCAUGUUUUCAAAAAACAAUUUUCGUGUUUUCAAAAAAUUUUUAUCGUAUUUUAUAGAUUUUCGUGUUUUAAAAAAAUUUCGUAUUUCUAAGAUUCUUGUAUUUCUAAAAAAAAUUUCCGU
rnacentral:lncRNA from 1 species